CUCACAAUUAAUCCGAUUACACACGAGCUUCUCUCCCUGGCCAAGACACAACCAUAGUAUGAUGAAGAACAUGGCACUAGCCGGCAAUGGUAUGAAGAAGUUAAUCCUCGCUGUUCUCUUACUGUGUCUAGUUAUAGGGCAGAUACAAGUGGAAGCUAAGAGCUGCUGCCCAUCCACCACUGCAAGAAAUGUCUACAAUACCUGCCGUUUCACGGGUACAUCCCGUCCAACGUGUGCAAAACUGUCAGGCUGCAAAAUUAUCAGCGGGAACAAAUGCAAGCCCCCUAACGACCACCUCACCCUUGACCCGGACACUGGUAAAUAAUAAAUUUAUCUCACUUGAUUUCUUCGUGAUUUGAGUCGUUAAUGUAUUUUCCAUCUGAUGAAACGUAUUGGUUUUGCAUUGAAGAGGAAGUUAAUGUGCUUAACUUCUGCAAGUUGGGGUGUGCGUCGUCUGUGUGCAACAACAUCAACGCUGGUAAGCAACUUUUGCUCAGACAGAGAAAACAAUAAUCAUUAAUUAGCGGCAGCUAGAAUCCUAUAAUCUAAUAUAUAUAUAUAUAUAUAAUUUUAUCAGCUCUGGGAAAUGAAGAGGCGAACGAUGCCGUUGAGAGUUGCGACCAAGCCUGCUCUAGCUUCUGCAGCGUGCAUGUUGGCAGCGCCACCGUGGUUGCUUAAGCAAAUGCAUCCAACUAGAUCGUCCUUGUGCUGAAUAAUUGGAUAUCGUAUCCACUUAAAGCUGCCUUGUGUAGUACGUCUUUGUGUCUCUCUUUAUAUUCCAAUAAGGUCGGUGAUCUUGAUGCCACACACUCAGAUGUGUGUUCAUCUCCAGAUACUACUCCAUGCUACCUGCCCUUUGUGUUUUGUUCAAUAACUGGGUAUCAUAUCCCAGCCAGUAUGCCGUCUGUUUUGUGUUUGUUUCCUUCUAGUUCCAAAGGGGUCAUCAUGAUGUUACCUUCUUUCAAUAUGGUGCUUUGCAUGACUACUGUUGUAUGGUACCAUCUUGUGGCCAAUAAGUACAUCUUAUCCUAUGACCUUUGCUAUGACCCUUUGCAAAUAAGUAGAAGAUUGUUAUAAGCGUCAAUACUCCGUAUAAAUUGAUCGCUGCUGUGAGUUCCCUUUCAGCUUAUCGUAGGCAUACAUUAUUGCUAGCACGGUAAAGCCAACCAACACGAAUGAUGAAGUAAACGUAGCGGUACUUCUGUAUACCAACACCCUUACUUAAAUGUACCGGUGUCAUUCCCUACUGGCACAUAUAUUCUUAUAUGCUAGCCAGCUUGUAAAAUUAACCAAUUAAAAUAAUUAUUUCAAGAUAGAAAUAACUUAUCGGUUUCUGGAAGCAUGUGUAAUGUGAAUUCAAGGACUCGACGGAAGUUGAAUCACUUCAUCUAUAUUGCUUUCAGUAUUUUGGGUAACUAAAUUUAACAUUUGCACAUACAAAUGUUAAAGUACAAAUGUUAAAUCUAGUUACCCAAGCAGAAUAUGAAGAUAGUUUAUAGUAUAUAUAUACUAUAUAAAUCUAGUUAACAUUUAGUCUAAAUGUUAAAUCUAGUUACCUAAAAUCCUGAAAGCAAAAUGUAUAAAUAUAUAUCUUUUAAGGCAGUAUAAGCUUCGAUUCCUAUUGCUGCUCUGUUAAAUCUCAUCUUUCGUUGUGGCCCAACACUCUAGUAUGCAUGUUGCACCAAGCUUCUUUGAGCCGCUCUGCCCUCUGAUUUUGCUGCGUAGGGGAAUCUUUAUCAGGUUGGGCUACUUCCAGUUGUGCGAUGUAAAGAUUCGUAUUUUCUAGAAGGUAGACAAAAAACUCGCGUUCUCUUAAGGCAACAACCGGAAGAUUCUGCAGCGCACAGGGCAUACCAUUAUUGUAGAAACGACCUUUAGUACCGAUCUCCAACCCCCUUUAAAACUGGUUUUGCAACCGGUACCGUUAUGUCGGUCCUUUAGUACCAGAUCAAAUAAGUACCGGUUGGUAACCAGUAUCAACUUGUUUUGCGGCCAAAAAAAUAAAGAAAAAAACAGUCAGAAGGCUCGCACACACGCGCAUCACAUGAAAUAUGCGUGUGCGGGGUCCAUGGGAUUCGAACCCAUGAAAUCAAGCUGCACGCGACCCUUCGUUACCAUCUCACCUACAUAGCGCAUAUGCUUUCCUGAAGUAACCCGUGGAGGAGGCUUUAGUACCGGGUCAUAACACCACCCGGUACUAAAAAUGACUCUUCAGUACCGGGUCAUAACACCACCUGAUACUAGUAUCGGAUGGUGUAAUGACCCGAUACUAAAAGGCCUCUAGGGACCCUCAAAUUUGAACCCGGUACUAAUGCUAAUAUUAGUAGCGGGUCAAAGUGCAGCCAGAACUAAAGCAUGGGAUGAAAGGUCAUAUUUCUAGUAGUGUAUAGUUGUUGUGAAGGACUGACUUGGCUGUCCUCUCUCUUCUCCAUCCCCUUGGUCUUACGCCGCCGCUCGCACGCGAGCCGGUGCCCAACCAGAGGAGUGAGAGCUAGGGGCAGGUUGGGAGGUGGGGAUAGUGACUGGUGGCCAGGGUGAUGGUUGAUCCUGGUGGGGUUAGGGUUUCAGGGUUUUCGAGCUUCCUAUGGUCGGCGAACCUAGAGGAGAAGCUCAACAUCAGCUGCAACCCGCGAUGGUGGUGGUUUGGCCGGCGCCCGAGGCGAGGCAGCGCGGGAGUGCUGCCGGUGGGUUGGUGUUGGCACUCAUUAUUGACAACUAUUUUGUUCAUAAAAUAACACUCAAACUUGCUGCUGCUGCUGCUGCCAUCGCCACCCUAGCCAUAAUAUAAAGGCAAAAUUUGCUAAAGGACAUGCAAAAUGAUGCUAGUUUGCUGGCGGGCAUCGUUGACCUUGUAAUAUGCUACAAGACACUCUAGUUGUGUAUCAAUUUGCUGAAAGACAUUGCUAUGACUAAAAUAAUGUUUCUGGACUGAGUUGGAGAGAGAGAUGGAGUGAAAUGUCUGUUUUGCCCAUGACCCCACUGGUCAGAUCCUUCUUCUUCCACCCUCCUUUGUUCUUUCUUCAACCAUUACCCAGCUCCAGCGUGUUGCAGAUCUACGAGGGUGGCGGCCUGGGGCGAGGGGCAUCGCUCGCCCUUGGAGGAGCGCUGCGAGCGACGGCGCGGGGGCGGCAACAGCGCGUCAGAACCUGACUGUUCGUUAGCUCCUCUCGCUGCUGGGGAAGAAGGAGGGGGAUGGGCCAUGGACGGGGUUCCCUUGAAAACCUCAGCGUCGAGCUCGGGCGGCUACGCGCAGGCAGCACUAGGCUGCUUCACGGGGAGGGGGCGCGGCCAAUCAUUGGCACCCCACUGGUCCAAUGCUGAUGAAGAUGGUGCCAGCGUCGUGUGAGGACAUCUCAUCUCCUCGAGUUCCAUGGCCAGCACAGGUGAGCUGCCGCUACCACAAAACAGAGGUUUCGUGAGAGUCAAAAAACCUUAUGAAAAUAGCUAAAACCAUCAUGAAAAUAAUCCGUGACAUGACACUCUCACGAAAAUCCUCUCACAAAUAUGGUGCCAUGAAAAUACCAUUUUCAUGAGAGUGAACUGUCAUGAUUUUAUAAGCGUCAAUACUCGGUAUAAAUUGACUACUGCUGUGAGUUCCCUUUCAGCUUAUCGUAGGCAUACAUUAUUGCUAGCACGGUAAAGAGAACCAACACGAAUGAUGAAGUAAACGUAGCGGAACUUUUGUAUACCAACACCCUUACGUACCGGUGUCAUUCCCCACUGCCACAUAUAUUCUUAUAUGCUAACCAGCUUUGAAAAUUAAGCGAUUAAAAUAAUUAUUUCAAGAUAGAAAUAACUUAUCGGCUUCUCGAAGCUUGUGUAAUGUGAAUUCAAGGACUCGAUGGAAGUUGAAUCGCUUCAUCUAGAUUGCUUUCAGGAUUUUGGGUAACUAAAUUUAACAUUUGCACACACAAAUGUUAAUGUACAAAUGUUAAAUCUAGUUACCCAAGCAGAAUAUGAAGAUACUCUAUAGUAUAUAUGUACUAUAUAAAUCUAGUAAACAUUUAGUCUAAAUGUUAAAUCUAGUUACCUAAAAUCCUAAAAGCAAAAUGUAUAAAUAUAUAUCUUUUAAGGCAGUAUAAGCUUCAAUUCUCUGUUAAAUCUCAUCUUUCGUUGUGGCCCAACACUCUAGUAUGCAUGUUGCACCAAGCUUCUUUGAGCCGCUCUGCCCUCUGAUUUUGCUGCGUAGGGGAAUCUUUAUCAGGUUGGGCUACUUCCAGUUGUGCGAUGUAAAGCUUCGUAUCUUUUAGAAGGUAGACAAAAUACCCGCGUUCUGGAAGAUUCUGCAACGUGCACGUUGGCGCUGCCACCGUGGUUGCUUAAGCAAAUGCAUCCAACUGAAUCGUCCUUAAGCUGAAUAAUUGGAUAUGGUAUCCACUGCUUAAAGCUGCCAUGUUUAGUACGUCUUUGUUUUUCUCUCUUUAUAUUCCAAUAAGGUCGGUGAUCUUGAUGCCACACACUCAGAUGUGUGUUUAUCUCCAGAUACUACUCCAUGCUACCUACCCUUUGUGUUUUGUUCAAUAACUGGGUAUCAUAUCCUAGCCAGUGUGCCAUCUGUUUUGUGUUUGUUUCCUUCUAGUUCCAAAGGGGUCAUCAUGAUGUUACCUUCUUUUGAGGUGUCUAUGAUGACUUCGUUAAUAUCAAUAUUAACCAAUUCAAUCUGUCUUAACUAUUUGUAAGGGGUAUGAUGUAUGCAUGAUUAUAACAAUGAUUGCGCAUACAAUCGCCGCCAAAGAAACGGUCAAUACCAUUAAGACAUAUUACAGACAAUUCUCAUAAUCUAUAAUGAAUAUACAUAUUCACUACUGCAGAAGACUGUCAUUUGUAUCGGCUCAUACGUGCCAGGGCAAAGGUCACCCUUGCAUUAAGUACAUUUGCACGGUAAAGACAACCAACACGAAUAAUGAAGUAAACAUGCCGGUGCUUUUGUACACCAACACGCUUACUUAAAUGUACUGGUGUCAUUCCUCACCGGUAGCCGGCUUGAAAAUUAACCAAUUAGAACAAUUAUUUAUUGUAUCGGUGUGAUUUUUGACCUAUUGGAAUAUGAAUUUGACCGUUACUGCAUUCGUCAAGACUCAAGAGAGAAAUAACUGAUCGGCUUCUUAGAGCGUGUGCAAUGUGAAAUCAAGGACUGGAUGGAAGUUGAAGCGCUAGCACUAGUAGAGAAACGACUUUCCAUCCACCCCCUUUUGUCCCGGUUUAAAGUUGGCUCGGGAUAAAAGGUUCACCAACCGGGACUAAAACUCAGUCACUGGUGGGAGGCUCACCAACCGGAACCUUUUAUCCCGGUUGCAAAGGCUAAUGGGAAAAAAAGACUCUGAGAGGCCUUUUAUCCCGGUUUGAAACACCAACCGGGAUAAAAGACCCCCCUUUUAUCCCGGUUGGUAACACCAACCGAGAUAAAAGGGUCAAGAGCCUUUUAUCCCGGUUGGAAACACCAACCGGGAUAAAAGACCCCCUUUUAUCCCGGUUGGUGUUUCAAACCGGGAUAAAAGGGCCCCCACGAGGUGACUGGAAGGUGACUGGAAGGGGAUUAAAUCGUGGGGGACCCUUUUAUCCCGGUUGGAAACACCAACCGGGAUAAAAGGGGGUCUUUUAUCCCGGUUGGUGUUUCCAACCGGGAUAAAAGGGUCCCCCACGAGUUAAUACAAAAGGAUAGUAUCCCCUACAUAGUCAGAUGUGGUGUGUAGGUGGGAUGGUAAGGAAGCUACGCGCGAGCUCCGGAAUUUUUUUUUUUUUUUUUUGCAGCGUCGGCGCUCUCUACCCUUUUAUCCCGGUUGGUAUUACCAACCGGGAUAAAAGGGGGUCUUUUGUCCCGGUUGAGUGACCCGGGAUAAAAGACCCCCCCUUUUUUCCCCGGUUAGUUUAUCCCGGAUGCAUUUUCGGGAUAAAAGCACCCUACCAACCGGGAUUAAAGCUCACUUCUCUACCAGUGUAGCUUCAUCUUCCGCUGCAAGUUAAUUGCUUGGAUAAGAAGUUGUAGCCGCUGCAAGUUAUAAAUAGUCCCGCUGAUGCUGUGCUCCGAAGUCUAUACUAUAUAUGCGGAAACUAGAUUGCUUUCAGGAUUUUGGGUAACUAAAUUUAACAUUUGUACAUAAAAAUGUUAGUUUACGAAUGUUAAAUCUAGUUACCCAAGCAGAACAAGAAGAUAGUAUAUAGUAUAUACUAUAUAAAUCAAGUUAACAAUUAGUCUAAAUGUUAUAUCUACUUACCCAAAAUAUUGAAAGCAAAGAAAGAAUAAGUAUAUAUCUUUUGUUGGAAAAUUGGUCCACGGAGAGGCCCAUUUAGGCCUCGUUCGUUUCACCGGGAUGGGAUUCCAGUCAGGAUUACUUCCAAGUUCGGUUUGAGUGAUUCCACCCGUGUCACUCAAUCCGGCUAGGAUUCAUUCUAUGGGUGAGGAGGUAUGGUUUCAAUCCAGGCCAUCUAAUGUAGAAGGAUUCCAAUCCAGGCCGGUUUUCGUUCCAGGCCAGACUAAAACGAACAACACUUUCAAUGCAAGUCUGGUUUCAAACCGGGCCAUUUCAAACCACCCGGAAUGGACCUCGUUCCAGGCCAAUCCGGUGAAAACAAAUGAGGCCUUAAUGGAAUCCCAAAGCAAGAGUUCAGUGGCAUUCUAUAGUCCCAUGCUGCUAGUUUGAGUUGGUCGAAGCCAACUUAAAUAGGAGAGCUCUCUCACUUCUCUAAAUACGUAACUGAAGGAGAGAAGGGGGCUUGGGUUACACAACGCACGCACGCACGCAUAUUUGCGUUCUUUUCGCGUAACCAACCGCGUGACUUGAAACUUGCGACGUAGCGUGCUGCUAAGUCAAGUUGAUAUAACCUUUUUGCCGUUUGCAUGUAAUCUUUUGACAACGGUCAUUGGAGGUGAUAAGCACGCAGUCAAUACCUUAAUCUUGAGUUAAUAGGGUGGUUACUACUGCCAAUUAGUGGGGCAAUUUUGUAGGGGAAACGGUUAGCAGAGGGCUACCGUCUUCUCUAUAAGAAGUUCUGGAGACGUCCAGGAACACACAUGUACAUGUGAGAGACCCACAAAUUCCUUCCCUUCUCCCUUUUCCAUGUGGUGAAGUGUGCUGUGGUACUGAGCUGCUUGAUCUCGCCGCUCUUCUCCUUGGCAUGCACCGAGGAGGAGGGUGAGCGGUAUCUCCGAGCUAUUGCCGUCAGGAAGCCUGCACGAGGGACAACAAAAAGUUUUUGGGUAGCGCAACUGCCAGCACAACUCUCCCUCCGCCUCUUCUUCACGGUUGAUGGCCACCACAAGCAUAAACCUCGCCUUCGCAUCCACGCAAAAGGGUCGCUGGGGUGCCUUCUUGCAUCGCUUCUCAGCCUCCUUGACUUGCGGCCAGCCAAGAACUGCGCCACCACCUCGGGUGCACGCCACCACUCCAGGGCUGCUACCCCAUGCCUGCGGCCGCCGCCGGCCACCACGCGUGUGCAACCGCGUCGCACCGCUUCCUUGCUUUGUGCCACCACUGCUGCUGUACCACCAGCUCCACCACCUUGGGCUGGUCGCCAGAGUGACUGAUAACUUAUUAUCUGUAACUACUAUUAACUCAGGGAUACAUGCGUCUUUUGCUUCUCCUACUAAUAUGUCCUAAAAUAUCUAGGAUGCCUUAUAUUUCUGGACAGAGGAAGUAUUUGAAUAAAAUGAACCAAUUUAAAAAAAUGUGUUGUACACUACUACAGAAAGACCUAUCAGUGUCAAACCCAAAAAUGUUGUCACCGCCAGUUUUGGGCAUCAUUGGUGAAAGGUUGGCGGUGAUGGGCUUUCCCUUCAACAACGGCACUGGAGCCGACGGUGAUUGACAUUAGAAAACAAAAAAGGGGACCCUACCUAGCCACCCCUGCAACCCGGCCGGCCGUGCCUCCCCUCAUCCCCACCACCUCGCCUCCCCAUGACCCCCCGCCGGCGCCCUUGCGCCUAGCCCCCUCAACUGCCCAGCCGGCCACCCUCAUCACGAGAGAGAGGUGCAUGUUGUAUAAUUGCGUGAAUUUUUUAAUGUUUAAUUUCAUGUAAGUUCCGUGUAAUAAAUUGUACAAGUUUUAUUGUAUAUAUGAAUUCCAUAUAUAUAUAUAUAUAUUUAUAAUUUAAUGUAUGGUUUCAUGUGUAUAUUUCAAUCAUGUGUAUAUUUAGUAGAUUGCCGAUUUUCUUUUUCUACUAGACAAGGGUUGAUGUAUAAUUACGUGUAUAUGUUUAUUGUACGGGCAAUUAGGACAAGUUUUGUAUAAAUUUCUUUUAUUUGAUGGUUGUUGUAUGGUUUCAUGUAUAUACAUUUAUUGUACUACUUUAGACAAUUUUUAAUUUAAUGUUUCUAUGAUUAGAUGUGUGUAUAACUAAUUGUAUUAUUAGUUAAGAUGGGAGCUAAAGAGGAUGAAAGGUAUAUAAUGGAGCAGAUUAUUGCUAGCUCAAACGUUGCAAGAACCUACACCGAGGGUGAGGGUAGCUAGGUGGACAUGUACCUCAACAUGUCCAGUGAUGGCAAUGACGAUGAGGAGCACGAGCAUGACAUCUAUGAUAAUGCGGAACAAGACAUUGCAGAAUUGGAAGGUUCUAAUGAGGUGUGCUUCAUGUUGACAAUCUAGUUGGCUUUUUUUCGUUGGUCACACCUUAGUUACCAUAGAACUUCGUCUCGGGAGAAGAUUGGUGGUGGUAUGGUGAUUGGAAUUUUAUUUCCACGAAAUCUGAUUUCCAUCGAAUCAUAUCCCUUGUAUUUAUCUUCUUUUUAUUUGUGAGAGCAUCUUCUUUAUGCUUGCAAAACAAUUCAAGUGCACAUACUACCCCUAGGGUGACGAUUGGGAGUAGAAAUAAUUGCCAACAAAACAACACCACAUCCUAAGAUUCUUAACUUGUGGCAUAAUUAGUCUAGUAAAAAGAAAGAUAAAAACCUAAUGGGUGUAUGUGAGUGCAAUGUGUAUAUGCAUAUGAGUGGAAGGCAUAUAAGCAAAGACAAUAUUUACACAUAGUUCUAAACACCAUGUUUACAGCUAGGUUGCUGAAUUUCUCCAUAGCCAUAGAGAUUAAUUAACCAAGGUCAAAACACGAUGUCUAUCCCAAGAUCAGUAAUUAUUUAUAGCACAAGAAAAAGAAAGCGCAUUGCAAAGUUUAUAAACCAACCAAUACAGCAUGAAAACAAGAUGAAUAGCUAGCAAGGUUUAUUAAACUGAAUGAUGACGGUCUGUAAGCAAGUUUAAACACCAUCUUUACACAAGAUUGCAAAUGGAAAAUGCCCAUAUGAAGCACUAACAUGGAUAUGAAAUCAUUCAUCAUAAAGCGUAAAGAACAACCAAGCCAACCAUAUGCAAAGCAUGAAUGGAAUGCAAUGAAGGUGCAAGAGAACAUUUUUGGAUGAACACAUUAUGAUGAUGGCAAAAUGCAAUGCAUGCAGAAAAAAUAAAUAUGAACAUGAAUAUGAUGAUCAGGGGCGGACCCACUAUUGUGGCCUGGGUAUUCCUCGGCAUACCCAAUAUUUUUGGGAAAAUGUUUAGUAGUUUUUAAUGGCAUAUACAUGUAUAAUAUAGUUUAGGUGUUAAAAUUGAUAUUCACAGCUAUUUUGGGCUCCAAUUCGCGUCCAAACCAACCUGGCCCACAGACCGCACCCGGCCGCCCGGCCCAUCGGCCCAUCUUGUCACUGAUCCUCCCACCACCACACUCAGCCCGUCAGUUAGUCAGGUCCCGAGCUCCUGCCUGACCUAGUCCGCUACCACCGCCAGGCGCCAGGCACAGCUGUACACGCCGCCCCCGUCCACCCACGUCCGCCGCACGGCCGCGUCGCGCCCCCCCCCGGCGCCCGCUGCUGCCAGAACCCAUUAGGCCUCCACCGGCAAGUCCACCCACAGUCCCGCGCGACGCGGCAGCCUCUUGGCUCUCGGCGCUCGCGGCGCGCCAAUGCCUGCGCAGCCCCAGCAGGCGACUGCCCCCCCCCCCCCCGCAUCGGGCCUCGGCCCCUCCCCAGCUCCCCCUCCCCCCUCCACCAGGACUGCCUGCUGGCCCCCACCGCGAGGUAAUCGAAAUGGACUGCUCAAUCUCUCAAUCUGUUGACAUGAUGCACACGGUUGCAAAAAUAGAUGUGUCAAAAUAGAUGUAUUGCCAAUUGCUAUAGAUGCAUAUGGUUGACAUGAAGAAGUCAAAAAUGACAUUUGGUUCCUUGUAGGCAGUCAAAAAUGAAGAAGUCAAACAAUAUUGAUCUGAAAUCAAUGCGGGAAAGGGCUACGAAGACACACGGGUAGAUUCCCUUGUGAACUUUUUAUGUCGUUCGUCUAAAUAUAUUUUUGCAAUGGGCAUACCCUACUCUGAAAUCCUGGGUCCGCCACUGAUGAUGAUGGUCUAAACAUAAAACAAGCCUAGAUUAAUUAGCUACAACUGAAAUUAAGCAAAGGUUAAUGUCAUUGACCCUAGCUCUAUCCUAGCUUUUACUAAAGUCCCGGCACAUAUAGUGGUUGGGCCCACUCUCUCUACUUCCCUCUCUGCUGCAUGCACACACACGAGCAACUGGAGGCCCAACAAAGCCCAGAAGGGUUCGGCCGAACCCGUCCGAUCCAGUCUGAGCGCCGCUCCCUCCCAGCCUUCGCGCAGAUGCUCCUCCAACGUUCCUUGACCCCUCCCUCAGUGUCCCAUUGGGUUUAACAUUGUAGGAGAGGAGUCCCUUUUUUAAAAUCUCAACCACCUCCUCUCCUCAUUCACUCCACUCUCAUCUCCAUCAAACUCACCAAGAUCCACAUCGGAAAUACCUGCUUACCACCAUGGCUGGCAAAGCCCUCGUCCCUUUCACCAACUUGGGCUUGACCAUUGAUCUCGAUGGGAAAAUCACUCCAGCAAAUGUCAUUGUCCCUGUCGGCGAUCUGGCGAUGGAGGAGGUCCAGGCACUAGAGGUCGAGCCCCUAGCCAUCAUACCGCCCAAGGGGUAAAGCAGGAGCAUGACAGGCGCUGCUAGGGGUUCAGCCGAACUCCCAGUUCAGCCAAACGAGGACGGCGUCGCCUCGGCCUCCCGCUCGACUGCAUGCUUCCCCUUGCCAAGGAGGACUCCAGAACAGCGGGCGCGUGCGUCAAGUCCCUACAAAAGGCUGAAAUACAAUGAAUAUCCAGGGUCACCCUUGAAGAUGGGUGAACGCUACGCCGGGUCCUUGUUUGACUAGUACGGCGAUGCAUUCUGCCACCGCUAUGUCGUUGUCGAGAUUAGCGGAUCAAGACUUAGACUAGUAAAUUUCUUUUAUGCGCGUAAGGCUUCAGAUGGUGGCGUGGGAGACAUGGGUUUUAUACUAGUUCGGGCAAUGGAAUACCCUACGUCCAGUGUCUGGAGCUGCUUGUGUUGCCCACGCGGGGUUCUGUAGUAGGGGUUACAGGUGUGCGAGAGAGGGAGCUAAUCCCAGGUCUCUUAGGCGUGUUCCGGUCCUCUAGAUGGGAGAAGUGUGUUCUGUUUGCUUGGGAGUAUCGGUUGUGUCUGAGUUGUCUCCGGAGCCUCCUCCCGUCUCAGGUCCCCGAUUCUCCUUUCAUAGCACAAGGAGACCAUCGGGGUUACAGACGAGACCGAGCGUGGGGAGGAGUAAAGAGAUAAACAUAGCUAGGUAAAAAUACAACAAGAAAGGGGGGAACCAAGUUUCUAGGUCACCGGCGUCCUCGCCGGCCUUCGACUUCCGCCGGCGCAUUUGUCGGAGGAGGGUGGCCGCCAUCGCGUUCUGUCGAUGGCUUCCUCGGUGACUGUAGCCACCGGGCGUGAUGAUGGCAUUUCGUCGUGACCCUUUGUCUGUUGGGGGAGGCGGCGGAUCCUGCCAUUCUGCUGACGGCUCGCGGAGUGCGAACGUCGCAUCCCUGCCGCUGGGCACGCGGGGCGCGAGAACGUGCGAGGCUUCCCCCUACCCCAGGCGGCGCAGGCCAUGAGUGCCCUGUGGCAAAUCGGAGGAGGCCGCAGCUACUGUAGCUUGUACUGUGCAGCCACGUAUGGGUACUUGUGGCAGGUUGCGUGGUGGAUGCGGAUAUCCUUCUCCCUGACAGAUCUGCGGCGCAUUUAUGGCGAGAUCGACAUGGGGACCCACAAGACCCGCGCCCAAGGCGGAUACUUGUCUGGAGGGCCCGGGUUAGCCUGACCCCCUACGCUUGGGGUCGGGCGAGGCGGAGACUUGCGGCGGGGCGUCGGACGCUCCCGACACUAGACCUGCGGUCGCGCAAGGCGGAGCUUGGUCUUCCGGGGGUCGGGGGUGCCGGACCCCAGGAUGCGGGGUCGGGCGAGGUGGAGCGUAAUUCUUGCCUCCCAUGUUGGGCCGAUGGCAGUCUUUGUUACCUCUAGUGGGCUUGGGCCUUUAUGUUUUGUUGUUUCCAUGGGCUUCGAGAGGUCGUUAAUAUUUCCCCCCAACAGUAGCCCCCGAGCCUGUGGUGGAGUGGGGGCGCUCCUCCGGAGGCUACUAUCAUCGCCCCUAGGGAAUCCUCGCAGUUGAUCCGGGAUAGGAGGUGUUGUUUGCACGGCUUGACCGAGGGGGUCGAUUAGGCGACGCAUCCUGUGAGCGACUCGGUGCGGGAGGGUUUCUUGUUGUUCCCUUCUGUCUGAGAGCCUUAAGUCGAGACCACCUGCGUGGCCUUUGGUUGCAAGGCCAGCCCCCGAGCCCCCGCACGUUGCAGGGGACCGGUCGGAGGCUAGGUCGACUUUUGUUCAUUACCCUCAAGCGUCUGUUCGCUAGGACGGAGGGGGCGAGCCGUGCCAUGCUAUCCUCAUCGGACGAACCAUGGUGCUCAUUGAGUUACUAACGGGUUGAUUCGAGUGGGAUCCCGGUCCCCGUUCGGGGGGGGUCCGGCUUGGGCCAAGCUGGUGGCGUACCCCAGGCUCCGGUCGGCCAGUUCAUAUAGUUCCUGAGUCCGUUCGGUCGGACCGGGGGCUCAUUGCCUUUCUUCGGGGAAAAACCAUGAACUUUGAUGCCGGUCCAGACUCGAAUGUGAGAUUGAGACGCCCGGGGCUGUCGCGUGCCCGGGUGAUGGCCGCUAGCGGACCCGUCUCCUCUCACCCCUCACUCGGGGGUAUCCUGAGGCGGCUGUCGAACCCGUGGCGGGCCAGCCUUCGAACCUCUGGAUCGUAAUGGGCCGUAGGGGCGUUUUCAGCCCCGUAUCCCUUUUUACCUUUUGGUGGGCCUUGGGCCGAAUCAUGGAGGAGGUCGGGCCUUGGGCCGGAUGCGGAGGAUGUCGUGCCUUGGGCCGGAUGUGGGGGACGUCGUGCGUGUCUUCCGGGAGACGAAGUGGUGGAGGGUGCCAACCCGCGAAUCGAGGGAGGAGGGGAUGUUUCUACUGCAGGUCAUGCGCACGGUUUCCGAAAAGGCAGCGGGCGUGACGGGACGUACCUCGCGCCGCAUUUAUUGCGAUGGGGGCGUCUGUUCUGCUUCCCUCGUGCCUUCCCUAUAAAACGAGGACUUCGCCUCGCCGGUUCCGCCCGCCAUCUACCUUCAAGCCUUUUCGCCUCCUCGCGCGCCCUUAGCUUUCCUGUGCCCGCUUCGUCUUCCUCCGCCCAGUGCCGCGCCCUUUCUCCCCAUCCGCCGUCGAGUUCUUCUCCCUCCGGCGAUGGGAUCCUGGGCGCGUUCCCACUUCGGCCCCUCACGCGCCGAAGGCCUAGUGAGGAAAGGCCUCCUUUGCGAGAGGACGGAGACGGAUGAGUGGGGGUUCCCUGAGAUGGAAGAGGUGCCGACUCCGCCCACCGGCUACGUCGUUUCCUUUGCCCACUUCCACGAGAGGGGGUUUGCGACUCCGCCGAGCCUCUUCUUCCGCGGGCUUUUGUAUUACUACGGGCUUGAGCUGCAGCACCUCAACCCCAACGGGAUUCAGCACGUCGCGGCGUUCGUUGCGGUGUGCGAGGGGUUCCUGGGCAUUGAGCCCAACUUCUCGCUGUGGAAGUACUUCUUCACGGUCAGCCUAUACCAGAAGGCCGAGAAGAGGGGAAGCCAGCAGCGGUCGACCCCGGUGCCGAUAGGGUGCGUCGGAAUCCACCUCUGCCAUACUCGCGCCAAGGAGUAUAUCGCGAUGAAGACCGCGGCAUCCCACAAGGGGUGGCACCAGCAAUGGUUCUACGUGAAGAACUACUCCAACCCCCCCUGCCGGAGUUCACCGGCCGCAUUAUUGAAGCGGCGCCGGAGGUGUGGGUGUACGGCCCGGUGGAGAAGGAGAAGAAGCGGAUCACCGGCCUGCUGCAGGCCAUCGAGCACCUGAAGGAGAGGGGACUGACCGGAGCCGGAGUCAUCGGGGCGUACCACGCCCGGCGGGUGGCGCCGCUGAUGCUCCGGGUCCGCUCGCUCGCCGACAUGACCCCCGGUGCUCUCACCGAUGGCACUGUCCUCGCGACGGGUGCUCUCGCUGCCUCCGAGAUCCGGCAGCGGAUCCGGGAGGCGCUGGAGGACAAGGACGCCGAUUACCCGGUGCCCGGCCACCCUCCGAUGCGCCCGGACGAGAAUUUCAUUGAUCUGGUAAGGAUUUUGCGCGCCAGUUUCCCUCUCUUGCGUUUCUUGGUAUGCCGUUCUGACGCGAGGCCCUCUGUGUUUGCAGGGUAGCAUGACCCGGGUCGUCGACUUGCGUCCGCCAGUGUCGGAGGACGCCGAGUGGCGGUAGCAGAACCGUCUCCUUGCCGAGAAGCAAAAGUGACGCAAGGACAAGAGACAGCGAAGAAGAAGAAGAGGGCCGCCAAGGAGUUCCAGCGGCGGCGGUGGGGAUAGGUCGUGUCGGAUGACGAUGACGAUGAGAAGGAGGAGGAGGAUGACGAGGAGGAGGAGGAGUUUAUCCUGUCCCCCCGGUCAGGGGCGCUUGUUAUCCGGGAGCCGCGCUCCCAAGCGGCCAUGGGGGACAAGGCGGGCGAGCUGCCUGCCCGGACCCGAUCCUGCGAAGCUUUGGGGGCGCGCCCCAGGGGUCGGCGCAGAGCGCCCCCCGGGGGUCGACGGAGCCGACCCCCAUCCCUACACCUGCAGCCCAGGAGCAGAGGAGCAGCGACAAGCGGCCGUUGCCAGAUGCCCCGGGGUCGGCGUCCAGCUCAGAGGCGAAGCGCGCGCGCCGCCCUUGCGCUGGGGGAACGUGAGUUGAAUUUCCUUGCGAAUCUCGUUCCUUUCCAUGCAUUGUGUUUGUUUCCGCUGAUGCUGUUUGUUGUCUCACAGCACCGCCCCUCAAGGCCUUGUCCCGCCGUUGGCGCCAAAGAAGGCGUUGCGGUGUUGUCGCCUCUGCGGGGCGGACCGCGGCUCCGCCGGCGGCGAGUGGCGGGGUCACUGGUGAGACCGCGGGUCCUACCGCGGAGGUGGCCCCUGCGGCGGCAACCGGUGGAGUGGUGCCACCGCCGGGCAUGGGACAGGGUCUGGACCCCGCUCCGUCCUCCGCCUCUUCGGCCGACCCCGCGGUGCAGAGUAUCGCUCCUGGGGGCCCUCAGGCCGGGGAGGUGAUUGACCUCGACGCCGACGAGGUGGAGGAGACGGCGGCGGUGGAGACGGGGGCGGUUGCCCCAGCGGCCAUGACGGGGACGACGACGGCGACGGGGGAAGGAGAGUCUACCCCCGCGGCCACGGCGGGGACAGUGGCGACAGAGGAGGCGGGGACGCCCGCCCCGGCGGCUGCGACGGAGGAGGCGGCGGUGACGGAGACGGGGGCUUCCGCCCGGGAAGCCACAGCCGAGGUGGCAGCGGCGACGGAGGUGAAAGUGCCUGUUCUGGAGGCCACGGUGGGGGUGGGGACGCCUGCCUCGUGGCCACGACGGAGGGCGAGGCGGCCCCAGGGACACUUGCUCCGGCACCCGCGUUGGAGGCGGUGGCGCCGACGGGUUGGCCCGUGGCGGCCUCGACGGGGGCGGGGGUGCGUGCGCCGGGACCGUCGGUGAGGCCGGCGACUUCCGGGAUGGUGGUGCCCGUCUUGACGGCGGCGGCGGCGCGGUCGGCCCCCGCCCUUGCCUCUACCACUCCCAUUCCCAAGGCGUGGAGCGGAUCCGUCCUGCGUUGGUCGUCUCGUGACGACCCGCAGAGGCCCCUCUUCACGUUGGAUGAUGCCACAGAAUGGGGCAAGUGGCAGGCGCUGCAGGGCGGACUCGCUAACGUCCGCGCCGCUCUAUCUUCGGCGUUGGGGGAGCUGGACGGCGUCAUCUUCCCCGGUGGCCGGGUAUGGUGCUUUCUCCGUUGGUUAUUUUCUUCCCGUUACUUCGUCCCUGAUGGCACAUUGUUCUGCAGGCCCUCCAAGAAUGUAGCCGGGGAAAAUCUGAUUUCCUUUGGCUCGAGCAGGGGCUCUGGGAGCGCUUCAACUUGGAGUUGCAGCGGACCGGGGAGCUGACCAUGCAAGUCGCCACCGUCUAGCAUGUCAUCGACGAUCUGCGAAGGCACGAGCAGGCGGCACAGGAGGACGCGCGGCGGGCGGAGGCCAAGUUCCAGGUCGUUGCCGAAAGGGCUCGCUGCGACCGCGAGGAGUUCCAGGCCGUUGCCGAAAAGGCCCGCCACGACGCUGAGGAGCUCGCACGGCUGAAGGUGCAGCAUGAAGCUCUUCAGAAGAGCGGCAGAGGGCCUGGCAGGACCGGGACGCCGAGAAGGUCCGGAAGGAGGAGGCUGAGAAGGUGGCGGCCAACCUUGGGGCUGAGGUCAGCCAGCUCCAAGUGCAAGCGCGAGAGCUUCAGGCCUCCGUGGCCCAGGGGCUCGACCAGGAGCGCCAGCUGAAGGCCUAAUCCGAGGGUAUGACUCUGUUUAUUUCUUUGUCUUUGUGAUGUUGCGGUGAUAUUUUAUUUGGCGGGUUCUUCUGGAUGAUCCUUGCAGAUGAGCUCAACUGGCUGAGGGAGGUGCUUGACGCGGAGCGCGCUGAGCACGGCGACCUGCGGGACGCGGUCCGCGUCAUCUGUGACUUCCUUAGUGUGGUCCAGGGGGAGGGGACGAGCUCGCUGGCGGCUCGUGUCCUCGGGACGUACCGCCGGACCAGCGAGAUCGCCCUGGAAGCGCUUCGCACCGGCUUGAGGCAAGCCUUUGGGGUCUUCGGCUCCCACUAUUCCGGCAUCAACUUCGCCGGGAUGAGCGGGGGAUACGCCACCGGCUACUACGAGGCCGAGCUGGAUGAGAUCGACGUGUCGGUGCUCAGCCCGGCGGAGGCCUUGGUGAAGCUCCUCGAGGAUGAGGCCGUCCCGCCCGAAGAUCCCCGGACGAGUUAACUAUAUCGGGCUGGCGCCCCAGAUGUAAAUACGUUAGGGAAAGACUUGUUUUUUGUGAGGGCCGUAGAGGCCUUUUCUAUGAAUUGUCGUAAAAAAGUUUUUGAUUCCCUUUCUUGCUUUUUGGACUUGGAAAGUUUAGAGCACGUUGUCGGGCGUGUCAGUAAGCUUUGAUGAGCGAAGGCACCGUAGCCGCUGGGGCGUCGUUUUUUUUGCAGUCCGAUCAAUCUUGCCUGAACACCGUUCGUGCACUUUCUCCUUUUUAUGCCCAAAAGUUCAGAAAGAGGGUCGGCUCGGAAAGAGAAAGCGUUUUGAGAGGGUGUCAAGUGGCUUAGGUACUUGCGGCAGGUUGCGUGGUGGACGCGGAUAUCCUUCUCCCUGACAGAUCUGCGGCGCAUUUAUGGUGAGAUCAACAUGGGGACCCACAAGACCCGCGCCCAAGGCGGAUACUUGUCUGGAGGGCCCGGGUUAGCCCGACCCCCUACGCUUGGGGUCAGGCGAGGCGGAGACUUGCGGCGGGGGGUUGGACGCUCCUGACCCUAGACCUGCGGUCGGGCGAGGCGGAGCUUGGUCUUCCAGGGGUCGGGGGCGCCUUACCCCGGGAUGCGGGGUCGGGCGAGGCGGAGCGUAAUUCUUGCCUCCCAUGUUGGGCCGACGGCAAUCUUUGUUACCUUGGGUGGGCCUGGGCCUUUAUGUUUUGUUGUUUCCAUGGGCUUCGAGAGGUCGUUAAUAUUUCCCCCCAACACUAUGAGGAGGACUUGUGGGCAGAAAGUCAGCUACCACAAACUUGCCUCUGAAUAUUUGGAGUGCAAACAUUGGAUGGUGGUUGUGGAGAGCCCCAGCCAUACCUCGCACCCGUGGAGAGGUAAUUGUCGGAUUGCUUGGUUCGUCUCUAGAAUGCGACAAGGUCAGGCGCCACCUCUCACUGCUGCCAGUCAGAAGGCCGAGGGGCCAGUUUCAACAUAGUAAUGAGAAUCUCCGAAGGCCAAUAUGGUUAAGCAGCUAACCUCCAUGAUCAUAGACUUACGUUUAGAAAAUAGGAGGCUUAGCGAUGCGUUAACAGAGCAGAAGUUAGAAACAGAAGAACUUAAGGACGACUUCCGUGUCCUCCGCCUUGGUCUUUGUGCUAAGAUAAAGCGCUUGUACAAUGCCACGGGGAAUGACGGUCUCUACGAUGCAGCUCAAUAGACGUGCCCCUUGUAUCCUUUCCUUUAGGCACUUUAGAAUAUGUUUAUUUGUUUUCCUUCAUUUUAAUUUCCAAUAGAUUGUUAGCGCCUCCAAUUUAAUUUCAAUAAAGUGUAGACUCACCGGUCAUCCAACUUGAUGGAGUCCUUUUGUCACCUAGUUGUCUUUGGAAGAAGUAGCUGGGUACAAAAUAAGUGUGGGGGAGAGCCACAGACUCUCUAGAGCUGAAACAAUGCACAACACCCACAAAUAGAGAAAACCACGCUGCACCAGCACGUACGUGAAAGUGGAGCCAGAGCUGGACCCAUAGGGGUUUGGCCAACCCAAGGGGUGGCCCACUCGGGCCAUCUUCAUCCACCGCGUCGGUUUGUGUCUCUUUACCCCUGAUCUCCCUGAUUCAUGAGUUUGAAUGAAUUUUAAAUCUGAUCAACUAAUUCAAACUCAACUAAAAUGAAUCAACUGCUCCACCUGCUCUACAUGUUUUCUAUGGUUGGCUUGCAUAUGUUUUAUUUCAUGCUUAUCAUCUUGAUGCUUGUGAACAAAUAUCUUUAGGACAGCAUGCUCAUCUAAGUAGUUGAUGUGUAUGAUAUGGUUCGAUGAUAUGAUCUUCACUCUUAAUGCUUAAGUGCUUGGGAAAAUCUAUUUGAAAAUUUAAAAGCCUUUUUGAAAUCUCCUCUUUGAUGUGCCAAAGUCCUACCAAAGCCAUAUGAUAAGUUAUCUUGAAAAACCAUUUGCAUAUGUUGCUUGUCUUUGCAUUGAGCUUUGUCAAAUUGGUGUGACCCUUGUCACAAUUCUUUUCAUACUUUCAUGAUCAAGACUCAUGUGCACGCCAUAUACCCCUUGCUAUGCUUCUAUGAGAUGUUAGCAUUGUACCAUCCAUUCAUUCCACAAAAUAAAUGCUCCACCAUAUGUGUUGGUCUCCUUCUAAGAUUAUUGUUACAAAAGAGAUAUGGGCUAUCAAAAAAAAAUAUGAAUGUCCAAGAAAGUUGGACACAUGAAUGUCCAAUAAAAAGAAAAAGAAAGAUAGCCAUGUCCUCAGAAAUAUUUACAAAGGGAGAGAGAUCAUACAAAAAGGAGUUUCCAUUCCAUCCACCACAUCCAUACAUGUGCACAUCUUGAUCUGAUUGUAUGACUUAUUUUUCUCUUUGGAUCUGGUCUUUGACUUUGCAAUAUAUGUGAUGCAAGCAUGCCUUAUCCUUCAUAGCCUACCUUGAGCUCCACAUAUAGCCAUCAUUAGAAGUAGGAUGAAGAAAGGCAAGUCUAAUGCCUUGGUGAGGACAUAUACACAUUGAGUGAUCUGAGAGAAUCAAAUGAGGAGCUAAGCAAGGUUUUGUUUUGAAAACUAAUUGAAAAAUCCCAAGCUACUUGGCAUAAGGAGUUGAGGUGACUUGAUUCAAGACCAUUACAUUCCUCAACUACCCAAGAUGGCAUGAUAGACACUCCAAAGUUCACAAGUGCAGGUAUGGUUUGGAAUAUCUUUUAGGCUCGCUUCAUACCUUUGAAAGUUAUGUUUCACCUUAGUCCUUUCUCGUUCACUCAAGGAUAAGCAAAGGCUAAGUGUGGGGGUGUUGUUGAUGGCUCUUAAGUACAAAAUCUGCGCCAUCAACUCUUGCAUAAACACAUAAAAUAUGAGCAUCAACAAUAGUGGUAGGAGUUAUUACAAACGAAUUCCACAAGUCUUGGUGAAUAUUUGUAUGCAAGCCCAAUAGGAGAGAAAAGACACCUCAAAAGCAAGGAAACACACUCUCAACCAAUCAAGAGCAAGCACAUGGAACCAUGGGCCCACAACCAAAAGGAAAUCGACUACAUUCCAAACACCCUAUACCCACAUGAGAACCCAUAGGGCAGUGACCCAGAGCAAAGGUGAUGCCAGAGUGUAGAUGGUAGUUAGCAUGCCAAAUUUUGAACCGCAAGCGCUCGGAUUAGUUGUUUCUUUUCCCUUAGAGAUUCCCCCAAGGUUUAUCAAUCCAUGGAACAAGGGAUUUGCACGUUUCACUAAGCACUAAUCAAUGUAAUUGAAAGCUUUUCGAAUAAGAUAUGAUUAUGCUAACAAAGGAACUAAGCAAUCUAGAUUAAGAUGGAUAGAGAGUACAGGUUGUGAACAAGAUAGAUUAAACGCUUGUAGAUGCAAUCACCAUGCAUGAAUGAAUUAGAUCUAGGUGUUAUUGUGAGUGGUUGUGAACCAUGCCCAACACUUUCCCACCCGCAACAUUGUCACUACAUGUGGGUACUCAACUAUCGGAACAUAAGAACACAUCAAGAUGAUCAUUCUAGGUAAGCAAAUAAGCAACCCAAAGUAGCGCUGGCCAGCCUUUUCAUGAAAGAGCAUCAUCAAGAUAAGAUUGAUAACAAAAUAGAUCUCAACCAAAGGUUCAGCGAUUACAAAUCAAGAUCUUCGUAUAACCCCGAUGACAAAUAGAGGUAUUACCCCCAUGAUCUUACACAUGUUGAUGAAUUUUAGGGUAAAGGACACCCUGUAGAUCAACUGGACCAAAGAUGAUGAUGAACGGGGGCAGGGAAGGCCCAGGUUGAUCAGCCUGCGCACUUUUGAGCCGAUCAGCUCAGGGGGUUUCCUCCUCCCCUGGUGCUCCUCUUCGCGUGGCCUCCUCUGGAUCCAAUCUUCUCUUCAUUUCUCCUACUUGUGGCGGCAAUGGAUGGUGUUUGCAUGGUGAUUUCCUCUUCUCCCCAACUCUCCCUCCUUGAAGUCCAUGAGGGGGUAUUAAUAGUCUCCAAUAGGCGGCAGCUCUGGGUCAAUGUCAGUGAAAAAAUCCUAGAGAUCAUCGUACACUUCAUGCUGAGGAAACAAGAGGUUGACCGAGCCCUGGGAUAGACCAAGAGGAUCAUCCUAGAGGGUCCCAGGCUAAUCGGUCUAGGCCCUUCCUAGCCCUUCUAGUCCUCUCCUUCCUCGUGCUGGCUUUUCUCGAUGACCCUUGUCCAAAUAUCCAUGAAGCUCUAUAUACAUACCCCCUUGAUUAUGUUGUAUUUCCUGUCAAAAUACAAUGCUCCAAAAUACAACACAUAUGCAAUAAUAGGGUUAUUUCAGGUGCCAAUUGGUGGGUUAGUAUACGAAUAAGCAUGAAAAUACUGUUUAAAUGACACUAAAAGUGUGUCAAUAACGAGCACCAACAAUCCCCCCACGCUUAGAUCUUGCUCGUCCUCGAGCAAGUCUAGCGACUAAAAGAUCUUGAAUUAAACCUGAGCAAGCGAGUCAAGUACCUAGCCUUGAAACAAAAGAUUAGAGGAGCAGCAAAGAUAAUCAAAGUCUGGGUGUUCAAAGAUUUAUCUAAGCAAAGAUUCCCCUACAACUAUUAUUCAGAACCAAGUAACUUCAAAAAUCAACUACACUUAUUUUCUGGCUUUUUUCAGAGGGUUUUUCUUUCAUCAUAAAACAAUCUCCCUGCAACAAAAUUGAAAAAAGAAUUAUUUUCAAGGUGCUUACAUGUCGCUUAAAUGAAUGUUGGCUAUCCUACUUAUUUGCAAGCUCUCAUCUCUCAAAAUUCAUUCAAUUAUAUGGUGGAGUUUGGGUAAGGUUAGCUAGAAUCAACACGUAUAUUAUUGAAUUAAGAAAACCCUCUAACGGUGGCCUACCUUCCGAGCCAUUGAUCAUAAGAAUAUCCACAUAAUGUGAAGUUUUCAAGGAUGAGAAGAUAUAGAAUGGUGGACAUGUGCAAAGGCAAAGAAAUAUAGUGACUCUGAGGCACAAGCAAUGUCCUCGUCGUUGGAUUGCAUAUGGUUGUAAUGAAAAUAUGUUCCUUAAACAAGUCUAUCUUUUCUUUGCACCACUCUUGAUCUUCAUGACAGUAAAAACUCCUCCUUUAUUUCUUUCUCUCUUUUCCUAUUAUUUCUUUUUAUUUGUCUCAAUACUUUUAUUUCUUUAUUUCUUUAUUUUAAUCUCUUCUCUGAACCUCUUCUGAACACCACAUAAUAAAAAUAAGUUUUAGAUCCUUCCAGAGACCUUCCAGGAAUUUGCUACAUGAAAACCGAGGCAAGGAGACCCCAGGCCGAUUGGCCUAGCCACUCCUUUGCUCUCCUCUAGCUCUUCUUUCUGGUGAAGCUUCCUUAUCUUGUAUCUUUCCAAAAAUUUCAUAAAGCUCGACUAGAAACGGAACAGAUCUUCAUAUAAUGAGUUGUGUUCAAGGAAUUGGUAAUAAAAUUGAGAAAUUUGUGGUUCGGGUUUACGAAUUCAGUACAAAAAUAUGAUUGUUCCAAUGAAGAACUCUCAUUACUGAAUAUUGACGAGGCAAGCAUUCAAAGAUGGUAAAAAGGAUAUGAUCAAUUCUCAAAAUUAAAGCAAACCAAGAGAGAGCGAUCCUAAUUCAAUUCAAAGUGUCAAAUGUUGCUUAUGGUGGUAUGAAUAAAUAUUUUUAGGCAUUGGGUAGGAUAAAUAAAAACUCUCAACCUGGUUAAAAGAUAUUGAUCAAUCUUGUUUUUGCAGAGGUUUUAAAUAAAAAAUAAAAUUUUAAAUCACCUCCAAUUCAAAGCCUUACUCAUAAAUCAUAAUCAAAACUGAAGCACUUGAUCAUCAUAAAGCAUGGGUAUUGCAUAAACAAAUCGAUUACUAAAACUCCACAACUACGAUUUAGAAUUCAAGACAAUGCUCAUAAUCUAAAGUUGCAAAGAUAAAAUAAAAGACAACCAAGCCAAGGUAGACACUAAAAACACUUGCACGAUCCUUGAAUUUUAUUCAUGCUUCUUCUCACAAAGACGCUAAAGUAGCCAUGUAGGCCUAAGUCUUCCCAAAAGCUUAAGAAAACUACUACUUUAUCUACUUUUGGUUGAAAUAAAAAGACUAAUCUAGACUCUCACAUGAUUCGACUCGACCAAAUUAGAUCCAAAAACUCAUACGAGCGACGAUCUCCCCCCCCUCACGCUUAAAAUCUACGACCUCCUCGUCGUAGCCAUAUGGAGUACAAGGAAAAGAAGCUUGUAAACGCUCUAAUGACGCUACCCGCACUACUUGCACACGGGAUGGUUGCUGCUUCCUUCGCUUUGUUCUUCCUCAUGUUGCUGCACAUCCCGAAGAGCUUCCUCACGUUCCUCUGCAAGAACUUGAACUCGUCCUCCUGACGGCGAUCAUUAUCUUCUGCCUUUUGAUCCAGAGCUUGUAAGGCUUGCAUGAUGUCAUCGAACGCAUCGAAGAGGUAGUGGAUGUUCUUCCUGCAAGCUGUGGAACAUGUACGAUCAUGCUCCUCCGAUUCUGGCCCGUCGUCUUCUAGAUCCUUCUCUUUGCCCUUGUCUUGACGGUGGCUAUCUUGCUCCUUGCUCGCCUUCUUGCCUUCAGCCCAAUCCCAGUACGUGUUGUCAUCUUCUUCAUCGUCACGGCCUGCAGCACCCUAUGAUCCAUUGUCUAUCUUGUAUGAAAGAAUCAGAAGCUUGUUCUCCUCAGGGUGUCUUGCGCGGUGCAGCGUUUGCAAGUGCAAGACUUGCUAGUUCCUUUUACACAUUGUAAUGUUCAUUGCAUGCUCUAAUUGUUCUACAUUUGUAAUUUCUUGGUGAAGUUUGGUUACUGAUCCACUGUUUGAUUAACUCUUGGGCCCAAACACUGUACUACUUCUGAUUAGAUAUCUGUAUCUUGACUUUGACCAAAAAAAAUAUCCGGCAGUUUUUGCCAUUAAAGUUUCAUAAAUCAUCUUGCAAAAAUCGUACUAUACAACAAGGGACGGUUUAUUAUAAAAUAUACGUUCCCCUUAUCACAUGCCACUUCCACUCAAAAGGCAACGAAUCAGUUUUCAAUCCUGAGUGAGCAAUUUGCUUUUAUUACCGAUGCCUCCUAUUCCCUUGUGCACCAAGUUUAUUUUGGAUAGGGCUGCAAAAAACGACUAACCAGCUCGGAUUCUCCACCUGCAAAACCGCAUCUGCAGCAACCAACCCCACGCGGUGGAAAAAAAAACAAAACCUAGAAACCGGACGGGGGUGGAUGUGGGGCUCGGAGCCCAAGCAAAAAACGGAUCGGGAGCGCCGGAGCAGGCCAUCACCGGAUGUUAGAGAUAGAAAAUGGUUGAAGUUUGGAGUGGAAAUCAAACAAGCCUUGGAGCAAAGGAAAAAAAAAGAUCAAACCACUCAAGCAUUCAUUUGAUUUAGAAAAGAGAACAUUUGUUAAGGUGGGGAGUUGAAAUCAUCUUUUAAUUAGUUCCACGUAUCUGGUAUCAUUACAGUUGGUUUACUUGUGUAAGUAUAAGUAGCUCUGCCGAAGCCUUUGCUCCUAUAAUUUAGUAACUAGUACAAAUGGAUCAAUAGGAAAAUCAAGUUGCAAUCAUUUCUCAGCCAACCAAACCUAUGUAAAUCAAAUUAUUGUCCAUGCCCGGCAUGCACAGGUGCCUGCCAUGCAUGCAUUGUUGCUCCAUUGUAAUAACCAUUAUUGUCCAUCGAUGUUGCAGCGCAUGUGUGCACUGUGCAGACACCAAGCAUCGAGAUUAUGUACUAGUAAGGUGUUGAAAUAAUGGGCCUAGCCCAUAAGUAAUUUCAGAAUUUCAAAUAAAUCUCAAAGGCCCAUGUGGGCAAGAGGUGGAGUGGUGCAAGUCUUUAGUCCCACAUUGCUAGUCGAGGGGAGGGAUGACCAACUUAAAUAUGGAAGUUGUCUCCACUCCUCCAAGCUAUGUGUGAAGGGCGCGGGCGCGAGGCACUUGCGUGAAUGGUCCGCCGAAAUCUGGCCCCCCUUGCGGGGGCGCGGCUUCCUUUUGCCGUUUUAUUUUUUGGUUACUUGGUCGUUAAGUCAUGGAAUCCUAACCGGUUUAGAUCACGAUCGUGAAGGUUUUUGGGAAGCGCUCUGCGCGACUGCUCGAUCGCUUCUUCCGCUUCGUCAAGUUCUUCGUCGACUCCUUCACCACGGCUCGUCUACCUCUUCGUCGCUCGGGCCUCACUCGUCGUCGCGAACAACGUCAGGCUGCUGAUCGUCGUCGCCUGCUGUAUCCGGUAGUCGUCCAGGAGCCGGUUUUCAUCAAGAAAGAAACGUACGGUCUCUUAACUCACAUUAUGUCUUCCAUACUAGCUAUUAUGAUUGUUGCAGUCUGAUAGCUCUGGAUAGUAUGGUAGAAUGUCUGAUUCUAUUUGCAAUGAUAGACUUGUCUAGAUCUUGCGUAGACAUGUCUAGUUUAAUCUGCUGCUUGUUCAUCAUAUUCAUGAUUUAUUUCUGGAUUAAGUUAAAACUAAAAGUGCUUAUAUAUCCAACAUAAGGUACCAAGAACACGUGAAGCACCCGGGGGAGGCUGCUCCACUCCGCAUGCACAGGUGGGCACGGCACCACUACUCGUCUCCUUCAGGCUGAGGAUAAGUGAUGUACGCUGAUCAACAGACCACGACGGAACCAGCAAUAAUAGUUUCAGCCUGCCUCACAGUAAUUAAUAUAUCCUGUAUCCUCCGAGGACCCCUCCCCUUAAUCUUGGCCUAUUGCAUCCAAUAAUGAUAUGUGUGUUUAUCCAAAUUUACGGCACCUUUGGCGGGGGUUCCACCCAGCUCCGCCCUCUCCACCUUCGGUACUCCAUGGGAAACCAUUCCUUUGGAAUCAAGGAAGCUUGAACAGUAUAACGAAUAAAGUUUCAUAUAUCCAUUUGAUUUCACAUGAAAUAAAAUAUUCUGUCAGAACCAAUGGUUUCACUGAAGCUCCAGGCAGCGAGCGAAGGGGUGAGAGAGGAUAACGCUUACUGUGUGUUACCAUCGCGUGCACCAUGGAUGACCAACGCGCAGCCGAGAUGAAACGGCGGACCUAAACAGGUCCUCGCUAUUUUUGCAGGUUCUCGACCAGGCCAGUUCUUUAGGCCAACCUAUCAUUCACGAGUUAAACAUACGGUGGCUGGAGAAAUGUUCUAUUCUUUUAAACAAUACCAGCUGGUUCCUCCGUUUUUAUUCCACCAAUACAAGCACCACCUUGUAACAUUUCCUAUGUUUUUUUUCCUUUCGUCUGUUUUCUCACUACAUGCGUUGCUCUUUCAUGCAUUUUUUUCCAUUCCUGUAUUCCAAAUAGGUCUACAUGAACACAAAAUGAACUAGGGGACAGAAAAAGCCAGUGAAGUUAGUUUUGAGCUUCACCAGCUACUUGCUACAUAAAGUGUGCUAUAGUCGCAGAAAAGCUAAGCUGGAUCAGACGUGGCCGAAACAAUGCCAAAGAGCUAGGUCCCUAGCUGAUGGCAACACAUCAGAUGACUAGCCUGCUUUUCUGUAAUAAUGAUAUUGAGCAAUACACUGCAUGGCUAACCUGCUUUACAAUAAUUGUCAUUUUAUAAUAUUGGUCAUCACGAGAGAUGCACAUUGCAUACACCGGCCCAUCCCUAUAAAUAGCCAAGCCUUUCAGCCAUCUUGGGCACCUCCUCUCAGGGCCUCGUCUCACCAUCAGACAUCUCGUUCCCAGUUAUAAUUUGCGAGGUUAGAUCAGGCUGCGCCAUGGCGUCCGCAACUGCUGUCAAGAUCGUCGCCACCUUCAUGCUGGUGCUGACCAUGGGCCACCUGAUGGCCGAAGCAUCACCGCAGCCUCGGCGUGUGCUUGCAGAAACGGAGCAUGCUGCGGUGUCCGGGAAUCCUGGCCUCCCAGGUGAUGCUAGCGUCAUGCAGGUCCUCGAACCCGCCCUAGUUUCUCGGCUUGCCUGCAAACCAGAGUGCACAGUCCCUUGGCCUCCUUUUGUAUGUAUCUGCUAGAUCCUCUUCCUGGCUCAACGGAACUUCAGGGAAAUGGCUGUGACGUCGGCCAAAGAAUAAAUUGGAUGAACAUAAUAUACCCCGGGUAGUGUAGCUUGGGCUUUUGUUGAGCGUCUGGUGCUAGUUGUAUUUUGUUUGCUCAUGUGGCUUUGCUUCUGGUUGCAUAUUGGCUUUCCUAUCGCUCUCUGUUGCAGCUAUGGUUUCUGCCAGGUGUGUGUUAAUGCGGUUUGUAAGCGGUGCUUGUUCCUACCUUCUGUUUUCAAUAAAAGAAGUCGGAGUCUCCCUCCGACUCUUGUUAUCAGUCAACAAAAAUGAGUUGUAUCAUAUAUAUCUGCGUCUUUUUUCUACGUAUCUUUGGGCUGCUUCAGCUGGAAGUUUAUCGUAAGUACGUGUAUCAGGAUGAUCGUUUGAAUUAAAACGAAAUGAUAAUGUGUGGCUGCUAGAAAUGGAAUGAGCAUCUUACUAUAUUACUAAUUGGAAGCCUCCACGUGAAGCCACCUAGAAAUUCUAGGUGGACGUUUUAAAAAAAACAAAACUCAUAGAAGCCUCCACCACCUAGGAAUCCUAGGUGGACACUCUAAAAAGAGACAAAUCCUAGAAAUUCUAAAAAAAGAAAAAAAUAAUAACAAUAAGAUUUUUUUGCAGUCAAUUACAUAUAUUUUUUUGAGACACCGUGCUGCUAGCUCUUGCCAUUGCGACCAGUAAAGCAAGCAGAUAGUAAGAUGACAUGCGUGUGGAUUGAUUAAAACAAAUUCAGUUAGUUGAUUCUAAAUCGUAUGUAUCCUAAAAGGAAGAUAUGUGCGUGCAUGGUCCCUAGCGAUGACAUGUAGACAUGUAUUGCAAUUUCUUUUUUAAAAAACAUGUCUAUCUCUAAACCAACAAACAGAAAAAAUAUCAAUCUAAAUCUAAAUCUCUUCCGUUCUCACACGCCUAUUAAAGAGAAGACAACCAAUCCCAUCCAUGUUCCAUAGAAUCCAUCUAAAAGCUUGCUCACUGCGGACGGCAUUUGACGGCAAAUCAAUGAAAGAUCAUCCUCUCCAAAUAGCUGGACGGCAUCACCAUCUUUAUCUCACCAACCUACAGAGCUACAACGAUGUUGUAGAGAUCAACUAGGUAACCUACCAAUCACCCUCCCCUUUUCUAUAUGCUCUAAAGAACACGUGGAGUAAUUAUAGGCCUAUAGGAGCCGACUAACCUAGAUUAAUAUGAAAAAUAUUCCAAUAUUAAAAGCAAGCAGAUAGUAAUACUUGCCUUUGACCAUUUUUCUAGAACUGUUAUUCCUAUUGAAUGUUCAAGUGCUACGGCCAGGCAUCGAAUGCCUGCACGGAACCUUCCUAUUGAAUGGUUACUCUAGAGAUCAACGCACCGCGAGACAUUUUUAUGGAAUUUGUUUGAUUCCCCUUCUACAAUUAGAUUAAUUUUUCAUGGCAUAUAUUACUACUAUUAAAUUAUUUGUUUAUUGUCGGGCCUGCUGCAUGUGUGGUAUAUAUGACUUGCUUCUCACCAUUGUUCUCAAACUAUUAUUCCUAUCGAAUCUUUCUAUCGAAAUAUAUUUUAAUUACUUGAUUGUUGUUUGUGUACCAUAACUUCUGUAUAGAAAAAUUCCAUGUUUGUAGAUAAUGUCUUUUGUAUAGAAAAAUAGCCCAAUUAGAUCCAUCACCAUCUUUUGCUUAUGUAGUUGAACAAGUUGCAAUGUUGAACAAAACUUUAAGUGAAAUUAGACCAGGAAAAGGAAUUGUGGAACAUUAAGGCAAGGGUAACCAGAUUGUGGAAUGCAACCUUACUCAGUAGUGGCGAACAAUUAAGUCUUGACAUGAUCCUUAUUGAUCAAAAGGUAUGAUAGAUGUUCACUUUGAUUGCAUUAUUGGUAUAAUUUUUGGUUUACAAAUUAUUAAUGAUGAUGCAAAAUUAGGGAACCAUGAUCCACGGUGUUAUCAAUAAGCCCUAUAUGAAAAAGUUCAAACCAUUGAUUGAAGAAGGCAAUGUGUACAUAAUUGCAAAUGUCAGAAUCACACCAGAACCACAGAAGUAUCGGCCAGUGGAAAAUGACAGGAUAGUCAACUUCUUACCCACAACUGCACUAAAAACGAUCAAAGAUACUGAAGACAUUCCAAAGUAUAGUUUUAACUUCAUGAGCACGGAUAUGCUUUCAGCAAGAAUAAAUGUGGACAUGUACCUAUUAGGUAAAACAUUACUGGCUUUUCAAUUUUUACACUUCCACUCAUUAAAUGACCAUCUAAUAAUAAUACAUAUUUAUGUUUCAUAGAUGUUAUAGGUAUCUCAGCUCACAUUGGACCGAUAGAAGAAACAAGGACAAACUUCGGAUUUACUAAAAUCCGUGAUAUUGUGCUCCUGAUCGAGUAAUUCUCUUUUCUUUUGUAGAAAACAACUACAAAACUUUCAACAUUUACAUGUAUGUUAUAGAACUUCUGUUGAACUAAAAAAUAUCUUCUACAGUGCCCCUACAAAUAAUUAAUUUCGUAGUUGGAUAUUUAAAAUAUUUAUUAUUCACUUUUAAAUUUGUGGCCAUGAAGUUAAAGUUAGAUUUUGGGGAGACAAAGUUGAGGAAGUUGAUGAUAAGACAAAAUCCCAUGUCAUUGCAAUAACAUCUACAACUGUGAGUAAAUUUGGCAGUAAGUCUUCAUUCAAUAUGAGUUAUUCAAUAUUAGUCAUUCAACAAACUAACCUCGUAAGAAAAAUAAAUAAUUGAUGUUUUAUCAGGGUAUUCUCUAUCGUCAACCAAUGCAACAAAACUUUAUGUAGAUCUACCUAUUCCUGAAACUAAGGAUGCACAUGAUAGGUGAGAAAAAUUAGAUAUUGUUUUUCUAUUUUAAUCUAUGUAGCAUGCACUCUAACAUGAUACAUUCUUUCAUAUGAUAAAAAAAUGUUAGUUCAAUUGAAAAUAUUGUCAAAGAGAUUCAUAUUGAGGACCAUCUAAAAGGGACAUUGGAAGACCAAAUGCAGUACAAUAGAAGAACUUUAGAAGAAUUAAAUUUCAUAUUAUUUGAAACAUCAAAUCAGGUAUGGAUUAGUAUGUUCAUUGUACACUAUACUAUUUAAAGACUUACAUACAUAAUGAUGGUAUUGUUCCUACUUUCAGGAUGAGGUAUUUACUAUUGAAGCAACAAUAAAUGAAAUUAAUGCAACAUAUGGUUGGUUGUCACACCCGAUUUUAAGGACAAAAUUGAGUGCAUUAAAUACAUGUGCACCAGGAUCAAGUUACACACAUCCUAUGAGUACCGUCCUUCUUUGGCACAAAGAUAACCGGUGCUCCCCAUGGUGAUGAACUAGGCCGAAUAAACUAUUUUGCUGAUAAUUCCUCUAGUUGUUGUUUCAAUUCUUUUAAUUGUUCAACCAACAUUCUAUAAGGACGUUUGGAGAUAGGUGCAGUACCAGGUAAAAGAUCAAUAGCAAAUUCAAUGUCGCGGUCAGGUGGCAUACCUGGUAAAUCGUCGGGGAACACAUCCGGAUAGUCACACACCACUUUGAUAUCUUCCAAGGAUUUUCCAGCCAACUGAUUAACUGCACAAUCUGCUGCUGAGGGUAGAGUAGCUACAAACUCCACUUUCUCUCCAUCAGGACCUGUUAGCAGAACUGUCCUCUUGGCACACUGAAUCGUUGCAUCAAAAGCGGCUAACCACCUCAUCCCCAGAAUUACAUCGAUUCCACUGGACUCAAGGACGAUAAGAUCAGCCGGAAACUCUAUACCCAUUAUUCUCAGUUUAACUUGUGGACAGAUGUAUUGAGCCUUCAUUGACCCCCCAGGUGAACUCACUAGCAUAUGACGCCUCAUGGUAUGCAUGGGUAAAUUAUGCUUUGCUACAUAAUGACUAGUGACAAAAGAAUGCGAUGCUCCAGAGUCAAAUAAAACUGAUGCGGGGGCAGAGUUGACAAAGAACAUACCAAGCACUACAUCUGGAGCCUCCUUAGCAGUCUCGGCUUCCAUGUGGUUCACCUUGCCACAAACAAAGCUUUGCUGCCCCUGAUUGCCUUGUGGGGUCUGGUUCCCAUUCCUCGGUUGCUGCAUCUGAUUCUGCCGAGGAGCACUGCUGUUCUGCACGGGGGUAGCUGGCCCACCUCUCUUAGGACAAGAGCUGGCAUAGUGACCAACCUCGCCACACUUGAAGCAGGUAGGACCCACUGGAGCAUUGGGCCUUGUUGGAGUGCCAGUAGGGGUCAUCUGGCGGUUCUGCGUAAAGCUUGGGCGCGGAGUCUGCAUAGUCUGCAUCCCUGGAUGCUGGAACUGAGGGCUAGGGCGCUGGAAUGACUGCUGAGCAGGGCGCGGAAAUGAGUGCUGCCAAAAAUUCCCACUCGGGCCCCCUGCGCGGAACGGCGUCCCUUGCUGUGGAGCAAAGCGAGGGCGGGUGUUGCUUCCUGAAGACUACUGGGAAUUGAAUUUCCUCUUCAUCUCCCCGAGCUCGUUCCUCUUGUGUUCCAGGCCAAUUGCCUUGUCUAGCAUCUUCUGGAAACUGGGGAAGGUGUGCGACAUAAGCUGAUAUUGGAGUGGUCCAAUCAACCCAUCCAAGAAUAGCUCCUGCUUCUGCUCAUCAUCAGCAACAUCUUCGGGAGCAUAUCGGGACAACUGGACAAACUUGUCCCUGUACUCUGCCACUGUCAUGUUCCCCUGCUUGAGAGCAAGGAACUCCUUCUUCUUAAGCUUCAUCAAUCCGGAAGGAAUAUGAUGACUUCUGAAGCUAGUCCUGAAUUCAUCCCAGGUGAUGCCAUUAGCAUUGGCAUGGGUGGUGGUGUAAGCAUCCCACCAAUCAGCAGCUGGCCCUUCCAGGCGUCCUGAAGCAUACAGGACCUUCUCCCUGUCAGUACAUUGGGCGAUAUCCAGCAUCUUCUCCACUGUUUUCAGCCAAUCAUCAGCAUCUAAUGGAUCCGGAGAAUGUGAAAACGUCGGGGGCUUGUGGCUCAUGAACUCCCUAUGCCUGUCCCUUGGCGGCGGCUGCUGCUGGUUGUUGUUGUUGUUAUUGUUCAGCUGAGCUUGUAAAGCUGCCACGGUGUUGGUCAGUCCGGCGAGAAGCUGAGUCUGAGCUGCUAGAAACUGCUCCAUCCCUGCAGGUGCUUGUUGGUUCUGUUGCGGAGCGGUGUUGGGAUUGCUGCUGUUGUCCCUGUGGCGUGGCACUGUGGGACGGUCAACUCCUGAUCCGGACCUGGUGUUUACCAUCUGAGCGUUAGAGACAAUGGAUUUAGAUAGAUGUGUGAAAGAAUAACUGAGAAAGAUAAAGCGACCAGAUGUAAAAGUAACACAGAUUCUGUUAGCUCCAUUUAAUUAGGUGUGGUCGUCAGAAGAAGUGUCCAUAAAUUCUGAACAAUUACCAAGUCGUAACUUAUUAAAUUUGUAAACCAACCCAACUGGAAUCAUCUCAAUCGGACUUCUGGAUCUCGAGUUACAAAAUUAACAAGCUGACAGUGUCGGUCGAUAGGUUCAGAUUCUGAGUGCUUUACUAAUUCGCAUACACCUCCCAGACAGAUACACCAAAAAUUCUGAAAAAUUUACAGAUAGUACUCCACGAAAUUCUGAAACUAACCCCACUGGUUUCAUGUCAUUUGGACUUCUGUAGCUAGAGAUAUAAAUAAAAAAGUACUGGCGUGUCAGUUAAUGUCGAGAACAGAAUUGAAUGUCGCUUAGCUUGCGUGAUGGAUAGAUUUAGACAGAUGGUAGAUCAUGAUUAAGGAAGAUUAAAUACUGAUUUAGAACAGAAAUAAAACCCAACUAAGCACUUUAUUUAUUAAGACCAGUAUCGUGUGGCAAUUGCCCCACAUACCGCACUCAUUACAAAAUCCAACUCAAACAUGUAGCACAAAACCAAUCAUCUAAGCACACUUUAACUAACACACUCGAACGACGUCUAACGAUUACAAGAAUUUAAACUAAAACACUCCUAAUUUCCUAGAGGUCUUCUGCGGCGGUGCCGGGCGAGUCGUAGCGGGGACGCUUAGGCGACGGCGACGAAGCGGGAUGAACAGCAAACUCCUGCGGCGGCGGUGCUCCCGUCGCGGCAGCCAUAUUCGCAUCCCUCUCCCACCGGAGUUCCUGAACCUCCUGUUGAAGCUCCUGGAUGUGGUUGUUUGCUUCAUUCAAUGCGGUGAGAGCUGCCGACGUGUACUUGCGGAGGAAGUCUGUAGCCAUGUCAACCCCAUCGUUAGUAGCGAUGAAGGUUCUUGCUUCCCCACUAGCUCGGUAAGGAAGGAACCGAUGGUAAGUGUGCUGCAAUCGCGGCCGUUCCUUGUGGGAGACGACCUCAAGUGCCCUCCUGGCGGCCUCGGCAAUGCCGGAUUCCAUGGUCCUCCUUAUGGUCACAUCAUGGUGAAAAGCCUUCACCUCCCAUCCUCCCUCGUGCUCCUCACGAAGGACAACCUUCACCUCCCAAAAAGUGGGAUAGCGAGGGUGGGUGAACCGGGAGCACUUGUAGAGUGGCCUCAUGCCGUACCCCAAGCGGUGACAAGUCCACCUGAGUAUGUCGGCCAUGUGCACUCCUUGGCCAUAAUCUUCCUUCACCCAUUUGAUCCAUGUCUCGGGCUCGGGAUCUGCUUCGGGCUCAUCAUCCGUCAAGUCGACGACCGGUACGGGCGUCGGGGCUGGUGCAGGAGCGGGCGCCGGUGCUGGCGACGGUGCUGGUGACGGCGUGGUCUCCUGCUCCACGGUCACGGCGUCCCCGUCAGAGUCAUCCCCCGGAUGCUGGAAGAUCUCUUCCUCUUCUUCCUCGUCCCAAGGCUCCAUGGGGGCGUACGACGGCGCGAUGCCAUGACGCGGCGGACGGGUGCUCUUGCGUGCGGUCAACCGGGUGCGAGCCAUCUAACAGAAAGAAAGAAGAAAAUUUUAGAAUAAAAUUUUGAACAAAGCUAGAUAAUAAAAUAGCAAUAAGGAUGAGACAAAUCAAGUUUAAGAAUAAUUAAGUAGAUUUAAAUUAAGAAAGGUAGGAAUGGCUACUAGAUUAUUAUAAUCCUUAAAUACGACCAUUUUCUAACUAGGCUAACGUCCUACAGUCAACACGGCUCUGGUACCACUUUUGUCACACCCGAUUUUAAGGACAAAAUCGAGUGCAUUAAAUACAUGUGCGCCAGGAUCAAGUUACACACAUGUACGACAAUAGUGAAUAGUAAAGCCAGUGCUAAAUCGAAUAAAGAGAGUAUUAACCAUUAUUACAUGACCGAAUGUCUCAAAUAAACCACAAAGUCUAAUUAUUACGCAGCGGAACUCCAAAGAUGACGACGACUCCAUAGGCAGCUGACUGAAGAAACGUACGCCUAGAACUCCUCGAAGUCGUGGAAGUACUCCUCUUCCCAAUUAACUUGGUCUGAACAGCGGUUUUGCAAGGGUGAGUACACUUAUGGUUGGUACUCAACAAGUCGUGGGAAGUAGUGUAGUGUAAGGCUAAUUCAAGGUAUGGCUAAGGCGUAAAUAGCAUUCGCUUUUAAUUAAGUUGGUCAAAUUUUAUUAGCAUUUACUAAGUAUAAGUUCAUACCACCCGAAAUUAAACAUGAACAUAAAGUAAACCACAUGUGCAUGAAAUGAUAACAAAUUAAAUCCAUCUUCCGAUAAUAUUAUCAUGUGAGGGUCCAGGCCGCUCUUAACCGUGAGCACGGCUGAUUGAUCAGUUUAACACUCUGCAGAGGUGGCACAUCUUUACCCACAAGUCGCGUAAAAGUUCAAAAGAACUUUGGACCCAACCAUGCGGUGUUUGCAAGGCACCAUACCACACUUCCGAGGUGUGAUUGCAUAGGGACGCUACGAGGCCUUUACAAAGAUUCAUUAAUCAGUGGUAACCCGCUAAGGUUUCGGUGUCUGGCGUGCACCACCCAUCCCAGGUAAAAUGCAACGACUCAGUCCCCCCCCUUGAAUCAUCACGAGUAAGGUCACCCCAGACUAAGGUUUCUAAUUAAUCAGCCAAGACCAGAGCUAUUUAGUCUUGUGGUAGCACUGUUUUCCUGGGUGGUCGCUCCAUGUUCUGAUUAACAAAUAAUGAUCUUGUCUUAAUGAAAGGUAUAACAGAAAUAAGGCAAGAUUAAGCAUUGUUUUUAGUUAAACCACCAUGUACCAAGUAAGCACUAAGCAUGAGCUACCCAACAUAAAGUAAACCGGUUGGUCAAGGCAAAGGUAAAACAAUCUAGGCCAACCUUAAUUGGGACCCAUCAAUUUAAUCUUAAUAUGUGCACAGCAUAAAUGUUGAGUACGAGAAAGUAAAGGUGUAUAGGACAAAAAGGUAGUGAUCAAGGACACGACUUGCCUUCUUGGCCUUGCUCCUGCUGUUCGUACUCCUCGAAGGCUUGAUCGGCAACUCCCUCGAACUGCGGGGCGUCUACACGCAUCACACGAGCACAUACAAGCAAACAUGGGCAAAAGUAAGAAAACAGUAUACCAAACAUAGUCAAACAGAGAAAACAAGCUUGAAAAGAUGAUCUACGCUUUAAAACGAACACGCGGAUAUAAAGAACGCGAAAAACGGAGUUAAGAUGCAAAAGAUAUGAUUAAAACAAAAUCCAGGGACUUUUCUGUAAGAAAAACAAAACUUUUAGGGCCUAUCCGCGAAAACCGAGGGCUUAUACGUAAUUAUGCGUAUAAACCGAGGGUCUGAUGCGUAAAAACAUCAAACCCGGACGGCGGGUUGAUUUCUGGAAAGGUCAAGGGUUAAACCGAAAAAUGCGAGGGCAGAUCUGUAAAUACUUUCAACGCGAUCUGGACCGCGGGUUGAUUUGCGAAAAAGGCGGGGGCUAAAGUGCAAAAACUGCACGGCGCGGCUCGGUUGACCGGUACGCGAUCUUGAUUGACUCGCGUCCGGCCGUCGGAUUAAGAUCCGACGGUCGCGGUGAUCCGCGACAUCGCGGCGGCGGCGGCGAGCGGCGGCGAGCGGCGGCAAGCGGCGGCGGGUCGCCGGAGUUAGGCAAAAUAGCGCCACGAGGCACGGUUUAACGCGCGGGUUGCACCAAAAAAGAGAGGGGAACACGUCGAUCCCGUUUUGGGGGUUCUUGUCGACGGGGGCUCACCGGCGACGGCGAACGGCGGCGAGGAAGAGGCGGCGGCGCUAGGAGCUCGGGCGGCUAGGGUUUCGGGGAGCUGCGGCGCUGGUUUUGGGCGGAGGAGACUGGGAGGAGGCGGCGGCUUUUAUAGGGCUUGGAGAUAGAGCCGGCGCGGGUUCAAAUCCCCCGGAGGAGUCGGAGCGGAUGGAGUCCGGGGCGGAGACGGCGCGCGGCGGUUGCGGAGUUCUGACCGGAUUCGGCCGGAGGUGGGAGACGAUGGGUGGGGUCCACCCGUCAGUGGCGGAGGGGAGCGGUAGACGGGCCGGCGCGACCGUGGGCUGGCGCGCGCUCGUGGGCUGCGGGGAGCGGGAGAGAAGCGGCGAGCGGGCGCUGGCGGAGCAGGCCGAGCGGAGGUAGAGCUGGGCCGCGGAGAAAAAGGAGGAGGCCGGCGGGCUGCUUCGCAGGCCGGUAAGGAUGAGGCGGCCGGGCCGAAGAAGAAAAAGAAAAGGAGGGACAAGGAGCUUUCGGCCGAGGGAAAAGAAGAAGAAAAAGAAAAGGAAGAAGAAAAGGGAAAAGGUUUUGGAAUUUGAAUUUAAAUCUGAAAUUCAAAAUUUGAUUCAAACUCAAGCAACCAAAAAUUAUGCUCCAGCAUGAAUGCACAAAUAAUUCCUAUGAUGAAUUAAUUGAAUUAAAGAAAAUGAAUUUAAAUGCCUAGAAAUUAAAUAACACCCUAAUUUGAGCAAAUUUUAAUGAAUUUGAAUUAUUGAAAUUUUGGGUGUUACAUUGGUACUACAUCUCAUGUAGUAGAGGCGAUUGUAAGAAGCAACUUGAAAAGAAGUUUGAUCACUACUAUUGCAAUAAAUGUGACAAGAGAGCCGAACCUAAAGCCCAGUAAAUUAUUUAGUAGUUUACAAUCUUAUUAUAAUACUUCUAUUUCUAAUAGGAGAAUAAUAUUUUCAGAUUCAAAUUAAGCUUCAAAUAAGUGAUCCAACAACAAGUGCAACUUGUGUACUUUUGACAAGGAAGCAGAAAUGAUAAUUAAUGAAUGAGCAGAUUCGAUGAUCACCUCAGUUGAUCAUGAUAAUAAGUAGCUACCAAAAUCAAUUCAGGAAAUAUGUGAAGAAACAUUGAUUUCUCAAUUCAGAUUGACCGAGUACAACUUGACAAGUUUUAGACCUGAUUAUACUGUUUCAAAGAUAUUUUUUCCAAAAGAAAAGGGCAGUUCAAGAAUUGGUAUGGAAAGUGUAAAAAAGGUAACACUUUAUUAUUAAUUUUUUAUUGCACUUUUUUCUUUUGAAUCCGUAAUACUUAAUAAUUUUACUAUAUCAAUGAAACAAAUUCUAACCUAAAUUUAUUUUCUUUUUUAUUAUUUGUAGGAAGUAGAAGACAACUCAGACAAAUGCUACACGAUAACUACCGAGAAUGAAGAGGUAGACACUGAUGACUCUUUUACCGAGAAAGUAACAUUCGUAGAAGAAGCCAUAAGGACUGGGGAAAGAUUGGCUAGAAAAGUAUACUCACUUCCAUGUCAGUGUUCAUUCUAUUUACAAUACAUGCAAAAAAAAUAUUAUUCAUGCAAAAUUGCAGGUCUACUAAGCAUUAAAGGAAUAGCGGAUAGUGCAAUAUGUAAUCUGAGCAGCAUGCAUUACAAAGUGCUCUACUGCAAUUAAAUUAAAAAACAUGAUAUAUGUUGAAUUCUUAGACUUUAUUAUUAUACUUUUCUACGUGACAAUUCACAAUUUUUUAGAAAAAAGAAGAUCCCAGAAGAAGUGACCAUGAAAAAAGGUCUAUGACCAGCAAUAAGAAAAAAUGCAAGCAUAGAAACAAAUCCGUAGAAAACAUAGAAAAUAAGGUACUCCAUAAACAAAAGUAUUCUCUUAUAUUUUUAUUAAAUAUUUUUUUAACACUUGACAAGUUCUUUUUUAGGAUCAAUAUAUCAGCAAUUCAGAUGUCAUUGGAGAUGAAACCUUAGUUCAUCCAAAAGGUCAAAAAAAAACAUCUGAAGAAAGGUGUUUGGCUGAAAAGGAAAAGCAAAAAAGUGGUAAUGCAGACAAACACAUGCAGAAAAAUAUAAAAACAUGUCAUAGGGAGGCAGACCAAUCUUGCAAGGAGGUAUAGACGAAACGUGAUACACGACCUGCCUACCUUGUCGUGGAUACCCCAAGAAGAUGUCAUAGAGGUGCAGACCAAGCUAGCAAGGAGGUCGAAACGUGAUACACGGCCUGCCUACCUUGCCGUGGAUAUUAGCCCUGAGAUCAUUCUACUGUUCAAGGAAUAACACUCAAUGCUGCUGCUGCUGCUGACCUGGCUCCAUAAAGUUAUACUCCUCUAGGUGCUUGCACUAACUUUAUCUGAAGUAUUAUUCUCUCUGCACUGUAUAUAUGGUUAUGGAGUUUGCUGGAGUAUCCGGGGCGAAGAACCUACAUAAUACGUCUUGGAACUAAUUGACAUUGAUUCACAGACAAACUCUACAAGGUGCUGUUCUUGCCAUUUUAGAGCAUCCAAAGGACUAUAAAUAACAUAGUUUACCAUAUACCAUAUACCAUAUACCAUAAUAUGUUAGCUAAAAUAAGAGCAUACACAUGUUGCAGGAGUCCAAAAGCACCGGUUGAGGACCAGGUACAUUGAAUUACUAGAAAAAGACAGGGGACAAGGUUUAGGUAACCACAUGAAACAUUUGAAUUUAUUGUACUAUGAACACUUAGUUACCAUGCCAGGAGCACAUAGUUAACACUAACAUUUAGCCACUUUAGAUCAUCCCGAAUCACCAAUGACCCUCAAUAGUGACAAAUUUUGGUUUAAAUGCCAUCACCAAUGAUCCUCAAUAGUGACGUAUUUAGGUUUAAAUCCCGUCACUAAUAACCCUCAAUAGUGACCUGUUUUGGUUUAAAUCUCAUUACCACUGAUCCUCAAUAGUGAUGUGUUUUAGCAAAACAUGUUAUCAAUGACUUGUCAUUGGUGACGUGUUAAAACGCGUUAUCUCAAUGGCAAAUCAUUGGUGACGUGUUAUCUCAAUGUUAUCAAUGUUCUAUUCUUUUCAACAAUACCAGCUCGUUCCUCCGUUUUUAUUCCACCAAUACAAGCACCACCUUGUAACAUUUCCUAUGUUUUUUUUCCUUUUGUCUGUUUUCUCACUACAUGCGUUGCUCUUUCAUGCAUUUUUUUCCAUUCCUGUAUUCCAAAUAGGUCUACAUGAACACAAAAUGAACUAGGGGACAGAAAAAGCCAGUGAAGCCAAUUUUGAGCUUCACCAGCUACUUGCUACAUAAAGUGUGCUAUAGUGACGUGUUUUAGCAAAACAUGUUAUCAAUGACUUGUCAUUGGUGACGUGUUAAAACGCGUUAUCUCACUGGCAAAUCAUUGGUGACGUGUUUUAAAAAAACAUGUCACCGUGAGAGUCAUUGGUGAAGGGUAAUUAAAAUGCGUCACUAAUGUUGUAGCAUUAGUUAUGAUAAUUUAGUAACGCAAAAAUCUACCAUCAGUAUUGAGCUUUAGAGCCAUCGCUAAUGUGGGUUUCUUACAUAGUGAUGCAAGCUCUACAAGGUGCUGUUGCUGCCAUUUUAAAGCAUCCCAUGACUACAUGUUAAUAACAUAGUUUACCAUAUAUCAUAAAAAUAUUAGUUACAAUAAGCACAUACGCAUGUGGAAGAGUCCGAAUGCACCGGUUGAGGACUAAACACAUUGAAUUACUAGAACCAAAUGUAUGUUUAGAACAAAGACAGGGGUCAAGGUUUGGGUAACCGCAUUAAAAACAUUGGAUUUUACUGUACAUGAACACUUAGUUACCAUUACCAUGCCUUGAGCACCUAGUUACAACAAACAUUAAUUUAGCCACUUUAGAGCUUCCAGAAUCGCUAUAAAUAAUAUACCUACGCCGUACCAUGAAAACAUCAAGAAGAGAGACGGAUACAUGGACCACCAUCAAGCGAGUAGUGACAGCACGCACAAGAAUACCCGGAACCUGUUAGCUUGUCUGUAGUGAUCUGUUUUCUUCCCCAUAAAAUCCAUGAGUAUUGCCACAAAUAAUGAAAGAGGCUGACCAAGCUAGCAAGGAGGUAGAGCAAACGUGAUACACGGCCUGCCAAGAUUGCCCUGGAUACGCCAAUAAGAGCGACAGAUACAUGGAUCACACCAAUAUGGUGAAACGUAUAUUCAUCACACAAGCAAAGCUGGUCAGUUUAUCCAUGGUCAAAUUGUGGUCUUUGUUUUCACUUGAGAGCUAAUUGAGGCACUAUAAUAUGGGCAGGCCUAUCUUCAACAGACAUGACAGCUACAGGGAACUUGACAUAAUUUGCUGGGCCGCCUGUGCACAAUUAUUUGUUUUAUUGUCCUUGCAUAGAAUGCUAAAAUACUCUUUACAAAAUGUUGGAUCUAAUAUUUGAAAUAUAGAGUAGUAAUCAUAUAUUGAUCAACAACUUGAAAUUAUCUGUACAUUCUCGGUGAAGCUGUUGAACUAAUUUUUGCAAAUUAUUAAUUCAUCUCAUUACGUAAAGAAAAAAGUAAGUGGAUAAGAUAUUUCGUGGACCACAUCACUGCAAACAUGUCAUGGAGAGACAGACCAAGGAGGCAGGACGUGAUACACGACUUACCCUAGGUUGCCGUGGAACCGCCAAGAAGAGAUACAGAUACAUGGACCACACCAUCUUGGGAGUAGUGACAGCAUAUAUGCAGAAGAAUACCCCGUGCCUAUUUGCAUGCAUGUCUCAAGUGAUCUGUUUUCUUCAGAAAAUACAUGAGCAUUGCCAGAAAGAAUGGCAAGAGACAAACAUGUCAUAGAGACUUGCAUGUCUUGCCUUGGAUACGCCAAGAAGAGGGACACAUACAUGGAUAACACAAAUCUAGUGACACGUAUAUUCAUCACAAAGGCAAAUCUGAUAAUUUUAUCCAUGGAGCAGACCAAGGAGAAAUUGAUGACGGACAUGUGAUCUCUGUAUUCAGUUGAAAGCUAAUUGAGCUACACUAAUAUGAGCAGGACUAUAUUCAAGAGACUUGUUGAGAGCUACAGGGAACUUGUAAUAAUUUGCUGGGCGGCCUGCGCACAAUGAUUUGUUAUACAUAGUUGAAAUAUUUCAAGAAUUUAUCAACCUCAUACUCUGAAACCCUUGGUGCAAUGUACUCUGCUUUCCGAGGUAGACUGUUCACGUAAAAUGAGGUCAUGCGUAAGACGGAAUCGGAUUGGAUUCACAGGGAAUCAGAUUUGGAUAGCACCUUUUAGCAGGUUUUUAGUCAAAUGCAAAUUCGGAUCCACAUGUGGUUGAAUGCGAGUUCAAAAUUCUACUUGGAUAUCCAUUUAAUUUAGGUGAUAGCAAUUAGCACAAAAUGUUGGAUGAACAAAAUCAUAGUUAGACAUACAAUUACAUGUAUGGUUAAAGUAUAAUACAAUACACCAAGAUUAUUCCUUGAAAAUAUUUCUUAAAAAUAUUAUAAUAAAUGAAUAAAUAUAAUUGUGGCCACCAACAAAUAGUCGGUGGUCGCUAAGUUGGAGCCAUUUCUGGUUACUAAUGCGGCCUUCUCCUCGACCAGCGACGACAGCUGAGCUUGUUCCUUCUGACACUAAAUCAUCAGAGUCUUCCCUCCACUACUAUAGAAUGCACCUUUAGCACCAAUUGGGAAAUCCCCUUCAGUAUUGGAUGCUGCAACCAGUGCUAUAUAUCAAAAUGGAGACUAAAAGCCUCGGUCUUGGGUACCGGUUGCAUAACGCAUUACUAAAGGAGGCAAAAGAGAAAUGUAACAAAAAAAAUAUUUUGAAUUCCAAGAAUGUUUCACUAUUCAAGAUGACUAGCUGAGAGUCAACAGACAAGAUACUAGGAAUGUGGGUGCUUGAAUGCAUUUGUACAGAGGUCAUACUAUUUACAAACUCUUCUAUGUUUCCAUAUGACUACCUACUUCAAUGUCACGCGAGCCAUUCAGCUGGACACAUGGCACACUAGCUUGCAUGUCGAAUCCAUGAUUAAUUAUUUGCACUUGUGAUCUCUUACCAGUAUUUGUCCAGACUAGAAACGUGCAACACAUUUUUAGGAUAUGGACACGCAUAUAUUUGGACUAGUAUACAGGUCACCUUUGGAUGCGUACAAGGAUGACCGGGAGGGACUAAUGGAUACAAGGAAGGGACCAUCAGGAUUAAUAUUGACAUAUGCCACAUGACAAUCUUCAUUGUCAUGCAAUCCCUAUCAACAAUCAUGGAAUCCCUAGUGUACUAAUCCCUGGAGGGUUGUGUGGAAAUUUAUUUUACCUUGCGGUGAAAAUCUCAUGAGCAGUCAUUAGUUAAGCUGACUAGCUGAGAUAUAAUAGACAAGCUAGUAAGAUUGGGAGCAUCAAUGCAUCCAUACAGGGUCACAAUAUCCUUUCCAUUCACUUUUAUAUAUAACCCUACGAAUACAAGUCCAACGAAAUGCGGGCCUUUCGAUCAAGAUAAAUUAAAUGGCCCACUUGUAUUUCUAAUCCAGGAUUAACUAUGCCCUCUGUUCAUCUCUUGCAAGCACGUGCAACACAUUUUCACGAUAUGGACAUGCAUGGAGGUUAUUAUACUGUUUGGACAAACUCUGAUGUGCCAUGACCUAAAUGCUUAGGGCCUGUUUGGUUUGAGUUGCUUAUUAUAAGCAACUUAAAGUUGCUUAAAGUUGCUUAUUUGAAGUUGCUUAUUUUUAGUCUAAACUGUUUGGAUACCCUUGCUUAUGAGCAUUGAAUGAGUUGGACAUUGUCAAAUUUGCCCCAUGUGUUGCUACCCCUCCAAUUUGCCUCCCCACCCUUCUUCUUCCUGCACACGUCCGAUCCCGGGGGCCGACGGCGGGCAGGGAGCAGCAGCAGCUGGCCAGGGCGGCGGUGGGGCGGGAGCGGCGGCGCACACCAGCACGCGCUCGCACGCCAGGUGCUAGGGCGCGGCGAGGCAGUCGUCGUAGCCCACCGGGAGCGGGUGCUCGGGCGCGAGGCGGUACUCGACGGAGAUGCCGAGCGUCGGGCGCGCGGCGGCGAGCGCGUUGAGGAAGCGAUGGUAGUGCGGCGACGUCGCGGACUCCGCCACGAAGCCGCCGCCGUGGACGUACACCACCACGGGCAGCUUCGUCUUGCCGUCGGCGGCCGCGGCCGCGGCCUGGGGUGGCAGGUAGAGGCGGACGGAGCAGGAGCCGAGGUCGACGUCCCUGGAGUCGACGCCCGUGGCGGCGUCCAGGCUGGGCCCGACCGGCGGCGGCACGAGCGGGCGCUCGAUGCGGCCGCUCUUGUAAAUCCGACGGGUCUGUGCGGAGGCGGGCGGCGGGCGGGAGCGGCGGGUGGGAGCGGCGGCAGGUGGUGCGGAGGCCGGCGGCGGCGGGUGGCGCGGAGGAAGGGGAGCUGGUGAGUGGUGACAGGGGAGGGGGGGAGAGAGAGGGGGGGUAGGGUGCAUUGAAUGAGGGCAGGAGGUGUAAAGUGCACCUUUUAGUCCCCAUGAGCAACCAUAAGCAGCCCAAGAGUUGCUUAUUUGCUUAUAAUAAGCAACCUCAUAAGCAAGAGUGAUUGGUUUCAUAAGCAACUUAUUUGCUUAUUUUAAGUUGCUUAUGCAUAAGCAUGUGAAACCAAGCAGGUCCUUAACCUAUGGUUGUGGCACCACACAGUACAUAGUAUUUAAUAAUGCUAUUCGUUUGGUAUGUGCACAAGGGCACGCAUGAAAUGUCUGGCCCACGGUAAACAAGUACGGACGCUGCAAAUAAUCUACUCUGCUCGUCCAGUCCCUAGCCUAUAAAUAGAUGCCAUGCUAGCUCUUGUUGUGCUCACAAUUAAUCCUGACUACACACGAGCUUCUCUCCCUGGCCAAGACACAAUCAUAGUAUGAUGAAGAACAUGGCACUAGCCGGCAAUGGUAUGAAGAACUUAAUCCUCGCUGUUCUCUUACUGUGUCUAGUUAUAGGGCAGAUACAAGUGGAAGCUAAGAGCUGCUGCCCAUCCAUUACUGCAAGAAAUAUCUACAAUGCCUGCCGUAUCACGGGUACAUCCCGUCCAACGUGUGCAAAACUGUCAGGCUGCAAAAUUAUCAGCGGGGACAAAUGCAAGCCCCCUAACGACCACCUCACCCUUGACCCGGACACUGGUAAAUAAUAAAUUUAUCUCACUUGAUUUCUUCGUGUUUUGAGUCGUUAAUGUAUUUUCCAUCUGAUGAAACGUAUUGGUUUUGCAUUGAAGAGGAAGUUAAUGUGCUUAACUUCUGCAAGUUGGGGUGUGCGUCGUCUGUGUGCAACAACAUCAACGCUGGUAAGCACCUUUUGCUCAGACGGAGAAAACAAUAAUCAUUAAUUAGCGGCAGCUAGAAUCCUAUAAUCUAAUAUAUUUAUAUAUAUAUAUAAUUUUAUCAGCUCUGGGAAAUGAAGAGGCGAACGAUGCCGUUGAGAGUUGCGACCAAGCCUGCUCUAGCUUCUGCAACGUGCACGUUGGCGCUGCCACCGUGGUUGCUUAAGCAAAUGCAUCCAACUGGAUCGUCCUUGUGCUAAAUAAUUGGAUAUCGUAUCCACUUAAAGCUGCCUUGUGUAGUACGUUUUUGUUUGUGUCUCUCUUUAUAUUCCAAUAAGGUCGGUGAUCUUGAUGCCACACACUCAGACGUGUGUUCAUCUCCAGAUACUACUCCAUGCUACCUGCCCUUUGUGUUUUGUUCAAUAACUGGGUAUCAUAUCCCAGCCAGUGUGCCAUCUGUUUUGUGUUUAUUUCCUUCUAGUUUCAAAGGGGUUAUCAUGAUGUUACCUUCUUUCGAUAUGGUGCUUUGCAUGACUACUGUUGUAUGGUACCAUCUUGUUGGCCAAUAAAUACAUCUUAUCCUAUGACCCUUUGCUAUGACCCUUUGCAAAUAAGUACAAGAUUGUUAAAUACUCGGUAUAAAUUGACUACUGCUGUGAGUUCCCUUUCAGCUUAUCGUAGGCAUACAUUAUUGCUAGCACGGUGAAGACAACCAACACGAAUGGUCAAGUAAACGUACCGGUACUUUUGUAUACCAACACCCUUGCUUAAAUGUACCGGUGUUACUCCCCACUAGCACAUAUAUUCUUAUAUGCUAGCCGGCUUGAAAAUUAACCGAUUAAAAUAAUUAUUUCAAGACAGAAAUAACUUAUCGGCUUCUCGAAGCAUGUGUAAUGUGAAUUCAAGGACUUGAUGGAAGUUGAAUCGCUUAAUCUAGAUUGCUUUCAGGAUUUUGGGUAACUAAAUUUAACAUUUGCACAUACAAAUGUUAAUGUACAAAUAUUAAAUAUAGUUACCCAAGCAGAAUAUGAAGAUACUCUAUAGUAUAUAUAUACUAUAUAAAUCUAGUUAACAUUUAGUCUAAAUGUUAAAUCUAGUUACCUAAAAUCCUGAAAGCAAAAUGUAUAAAUAUAUAUCUUUUAAGGAAUCCCAAAGCAAGAGUUCAGUGGCAUUCUAUAGUCCCAUGCUGCUAGUUUGAGUUGGUCGAAGCCAACUUAAAUAGGAGAGCUCUCUCACUUCUCUAAAUACGUAACUGAAGGAGAGAAGGGGGCUUGGUUACACAACGCACGCACGCACGCAUAUUUGCGUUCUUUUCGCGUAACCAACCGCGUGACUUGAAACUUGCGACGUAGCGUGCUGCCAAGUCAAGUUGAUAUAACCUUUUUGCCGUAGGCGUGUAAUCUUUUGACAACGGUCAUUGGAGGUGAUAAGCACGCAGUCAAUACCUUAAUCCUGAG
rnacentral:lncRNA from 1 species